rnacentral:lncRNA from 1 species
AGAUCAGCUGUGAAGAGGCCUUCUCCUUCAUAAUUCGGUCCUGCUAGAAUUUCGCCAUGGGGCGAAAUGAUGACACUACCUCCAGCCCAAACAAUAGAAUCUGGAGUGACAUCUUCUUCUGUAGGACUGUAAAGAUACUCAGGUGGAGGUGGGUAAUCUUUCCUCCGACAGAACUGGAUGGGUGAAAGAACAUAGCAUCCACCCUCAAUAGCGACGUGUCUCAUUGUAGCUACCCAUGUAUCCCCGGAAUCGGCAGUAGGAGCACAAUAUAUCUCAAUACCUAUAGAGAUGUACAUUCGUAUUUUGUGAUCAAUCAAUCCCAUAUCAAAGCCAUAAUGUAUUUCAAGCCUAUUUAUAGGCUAAAACCCUAACAACUUAAAAAAGAGUACUGAAGUAUUUCAAGCCAAACCAUAUUAGUUAGUGAAGAAAAAGACAUACCUUUGCCAUACAUUGAUGUCCUGAAAAGCGGCAUUCUAUUUUCCCAACAAAUGACCGAACCAAGUUUUCCAUAUGGAGUAUCAUAAACUGGAGUAGUCGAGCAAUCUCCGAAACCCCAGAACAGCCGCUCCCAAUAUGUUGGCAUGAGUUUCCUAUGUUUUCCAAGGUAAUUACCUUCAGGAUCAAAGAAGAGAACAGUGCAAUACAAUGUGUAUCCAUCUCUCUCAACAACACCUGUCACUAAGUAGACUUUGUAUUUCGCAGCCAUUGAUGCCAAUCUAUCCACUUCAGGUCCUGAAAAUACAUUAAUAUGAGAUCAAAGAUGAAAUAUGUAAGCUGAUGGCUCAUCACAAAGCAUAAGUAGAUUUUUUUUUUCUUGGUUCAUUCAUCAAACGUGUCUUGUUUCAAUAACUAAUUAAGUGGUUCAGUUCUUUGGCUAUUUAAGGGAGAAAGAGAGAGGUAACUGACCCGGCACAUUAAUGGCAGAAGCAUGGUACUUGCGGAAACUUUCUUUCCCUCUUGGCGACUGGUCGGCGAAAUUGUAUCCCCGGGGAUACCCACCGAUAAAUGCUUCAGGAAACACAACCAGUUGGGAUCCUAGUGCAGCUGCUUCUUUCAAAAACCUCUCAGCCUUAUCUGCUCUCAAAAUCACAUUGCAAGAAUUAAUAAUCCACGACUUAGUAAAUUAAUUGGUUGAAUGGACAGAAUGAAAAUUAACUUCAAGAGAUCCCGAAUGACUUUUUGGUUGCUGAGAAAACUCAAGGAAAAAGAGACCUAGAUGAAACUUGAAACUCUCAUAUUUUCAGCUGUUUUGUAACUAAGAAAAGAGAAACCACCUCAACCCAACUCAUUAAAAUAAUUGUAAAAGCAGUAAUUCCUUGAUUGGCAGCUGAAAAUAUGAUCAGGGUUCAAUCAUCCUUUUCUUUUUUUCAGUCUCUGAGCAACCAAUUAGAUCACAUAUUCCAUUACACAAGUUGAACAAUUGAAAGAAAUGGUACGUUACCUAGAGUGGCAGGAGUAUCAUAAAAGAUACUAGAAGCUUGAACAACGGUGGCUCUAACAGUUGAAGACAUUGCAGAAAUCGUAUGCUUUUUCGUUUCCCUUUUGUUUGAGGAUUCCUUACACAACGUUCAGUAUAUAUAUUGCCCAUGAACAUGAGGUUCUUCUGCCAUUACUUGAACGAGACGAAGAGGCUGUGAAAAGUCUACCUUGGUUUUCUAUAUUCAUUGUGAGCUUUUCUCCUCAUCACAAAUUUUGAAGUUAUCCGCAGACAUUGUGGACCAGCCACAUGACUUGUACAAAUUGAAAAUGACUGUAAGAAAAUGACUCAGCCAAUUCAAGAUAUUUGUCAUUAAAAGAAUAGUCAUUAAAAGCACAAGAUAUUUGUCAUUUUUUUUUUUACAAAAACGACUGAGUCGUACAUAGUGUUAUGGUUAUAGACGCCCAAAAGAAGUCUUUUUGUGCCUUGUAAGAAAACCUUAGCCAAUUCAAGAUGACCACAGAAUCAAAAUAAGUUUUAUCGCUUUCUUUUUUUUCUACAGGUACGAUGAUUAUCUUUGAACGAAAAGAGGGAGCCGCCCACAUGCACAUAAAAAGGGAGUAAUGAGUGAUUCAAUGGCAGCUAUGGUAGAAAAAUAAAAAGGGAACUAUGCUUACCCUCACGUUGAUUCAAGCAAAUAUAUUUUUUAGGAAUUCUAAUUUUCAUAUUUCACCCCAAACACAUAAUCAAUAAAUUUAUUCUUCAAAUAUGUAUUUUAAUAACAACCAAAAUGAGAAUUCUAUAGUUAUCCCUUUUAAAAUCUUUAAUAUGACAAGUCAUCAUUUGAUCUGUUUGAUAUCCUCUCCAUAUCAUGUCUUUGAUAUCCUAACUUUGACAUUUUUUUAUUUAUAUACGCUGAAGUGAAUACACUUUCAUAUUUCUUUUUAUUCUUUUAAUAUUUUCAUAUUUAUUAACUUAGUCAUUUUUUUGAAACAUUAACAUAAAAUUAUAAUAUAUGAUCAAUAACUAAUAAGAACAAAUUAAACAUAAAUAUAAGUACGGAAUGGACAGAAAAUAAAAAAUUUAUCCUACAAAUAAUACACUAUAUAGUUUAAAAUAUUAAUUAUAAUAAUAUAUUUGAUACUUUAGGGUUUAGAUUAAAAAAUUAUGUUUUAUUUUUUAGAGGCUAGGAUAUAGGAUUUCCAUUAACCAAAGAUUUUUUGUAUGAAUCCUAAAUAAAAUGUGUAUUUAUUUUGCAAAUUCUUAUCAUAUAUAAAUAAAAUAAAAUAAAUAUAUUUUUAUCAUAUUAUUUUUAAUUUUUAUUAUUUUGUGUCAAAAUCACAGUCAAUGAUGGUGGUUUUUGUUAUGAUAUAGCUCUUAAAAGGAUGUUAUGAUGCAAUAAAUAUGAAGUUUAUUAUUUAUUUAAUGGUAUUUUGAUUUUACUUUUAUUAAUCUUUAUUUCAUGCAUUUUACCUUAUGAGUAUUCUAGCUUGACAUUUCUUGCACUAUACAUAACUUGGGUGCAUUAAAAAUUGCAUGAAAGAUCCAAGUUAUAGGUUCCUUGCAAGUAAAUGAUUUGUUCACAACCGCUUUGUGAACUUAAGCAAUCCAUUUGAUGUCGUAGUUCACUACCUCUUCAUUAGAGGAAUGAUUUAUCUUGACUACCAAGAUAGAGUUCUCAUGGUGAGUACACUAGUAUGAUGAGUUAUAAUUUAUAAUGUAAGGUUGUUGGGUAGUCAUAACUCACUAAGUUGUUAUAUUGUAUUAUCUUCUCAACCUUGAGAGGAUACUGAACUUGUGCCAAAGUCUAUAAUUGUUUGACCUAUGGGUGAGAUUCUAAAGUGAUUAUAUAUUCCUUACAGAUUGGUCACAGUAGAUAGAAGUCAGUAGUAAUAAGUAUUCUCAAUACAAACAUCACGAUAUCUCAUGGAAUUUGAGAUAGUGUUGGGUCAUAAUAAGGACAUGUGAUCAUGAAAUCUAUGGUCGCAUUAAUUCUUUAAAUGAAAUUUGAUAUAUGCUUUUGUGAGUUAGAGUAUGCUAGUUGAUCAUAUAAUAAGAGAAUAUGUGACUCAAGAAUGGUAUAGGUAAUCUUGAAAGGCAAAUAUCUUUCACCUUAUUAGAUUAUAAACACUAAUUCCUGGGGAGACUAUAUGCAAUAGAUAGCAGGUCACGAACUUAAGCACUUUGUGUCUUGUUGUAAUACACAUAGGGUAUUGAAGUGUAGUUGACUUUCUAUAGUAAGAUGUUGAGUCAAUUUUAAAAUUUGAUUAUAAGGGAGCUAGUACUAUCCUAUGGGUCUUAGCAGUCCUUGCUCAAGUUCAUAUAUCUCAAUGGCAUGGUUUAUGAGGGUUGGAUUAACUCAUGAUUCACUUAUGUGCAUAAGGCUGUUUUGGCAAGUAUGCAUGAUUACAUAGGAGUUUGUUGGGACAAAACCUUAUAAAGUAUGACAUGAUGUAAUAGAUUUAGUUUCAUUAAUAAAUUUAUUUAUUUACUAUUCUAGUUCCCUUGUAUUAUCCCAUUGGCAUUAAUUGGUUAUCAAAGUAUUUACACCCAUAUCACUUGCAUUGUACAUGACUUAGGUGUAUUUAGAGUUGACCAAAAAAUCCAAGUCAUGGGUUCUUUGCAAGGUAAUAAAUAGUUUAUAGUAGGUUCAUGGAUUUGAGCAAUUUAAUAGAGACUAUAGUGUACUACUUCCCAAUUGGAGAGAUGACUAGUCUUAGUCACCGAGAUGACUUUCCCAUGAUGAGUGCAAUAAUGUGUAUAGUUACACAUUGGACAUGACCUAUGGUGAAUCAUGACAUUAAUUGUUGGGUAGUCAUGAUUCACCAUGAUACUAGAUUGUAUAAACUCUCAACCUUGAGAAAAUAUUGAGUUUAUGCUAAAAUCAACAAGAAGCUUUUAUCUAUGGGUGAGAUCCUAAUGUGGUCAUAUAUUCCUUACAAAUUAGGUUACAGUUGAUGAAGGUUGGUGGCAACAGGUAUUCUUAAUAGAGACAACAUAAUAUCUUAUGAGAUUAAGACAACGUGUCUCUUGGGUGAUCCUAAAGACAUGUGAUCAAGAUGACUAUGACCAUAGUAAUUCCUUUAGUAGAAUUUGACAUAUGCUCUUUGUAAGCUAAAGUAUGUAAAUUGAUCAUUAAUAAGAGGAUUUGUAACUCAAGGAUUGGAGAGAUAAUUUUGAAAGGUUGCCAUCACUACCUUGUUAGAUUACAGACACCAGUUCACGGGGAGUUUACAUGCAGUAGAUAGUAGGUCAUAGACCUAAACUUUUCCUUAUUGUAAUUAUAUAGGAUAUUGGAGUGUAGUUGACUUUCUUUAGUAAGGUGUUAAGUUAACCUUAGAAUUGGAUUCAAAGCGAGCUAGCAUUUUCCUAUAGGUUCCAAUGGUCCCUGCUCAAUCUCUCAUUUAAUGGUGUCACAUUUGUUUAAGGUAUUUUAGGUUUGUAGUUAACAAGUGUGCAUUAGGGGGAAUUUAAUAAAAAUACAAGGUUGGACUAGAUAUUGUGAAUAGACUUUCUAGAUUGGCCUAAUUUAUUAAUGGAUUCCAAUAUGGCUAAUUAAUUAAUUAGGAUCUAAGUGAGUUAAAUUAGGUAACCUAAGCCCACUUUAGGCUUAAGUCACUAAAGUUCACAAGGAAGCUUAUAAAUAACUAUUUAAAGCUUAUUGGGUUUUAUGAGUAACUUAAGCUUGCCUUGGGUUUGGGUAAGUUAUCAUAACCUAAAAAAGUUCUUAAUUGAGCGCUUAGAUUAAUCAAUUAGCUUAGUCCAGAAAUACCUUUCACCAACUCUAUUGGAAACUUUGAAUUACUCCAUUUCAUGAUCUAGGAUCAAAUAGGGUGCAUGCAACUAUCUUUAGGUUUUUCUAGAUCUAAUGCACUAGAAAAAUAUGGAUAUAAAAUCCAUAAAAUGUACUAGAUUUAUAGAUUAAAACUCAUACCUAUGAUUUCAAUGUUUCUAAAUUAAAUCCAAUCCCUAAAAGAUAUCAAAGAUGUUUUAAAAGUCAUCUAUCAAACAAUUUUCCACCCAAUCUCUCCCUCCACAAAUAGACCCUAGCACAAAAAAAGGUGAAUGCUGGAAUUUUCGUCAAUUAUUGGAUCAAAACAAAAUUUAUAACCUAAUUCACUAUUCUAUAGCAGCUUGUACCCGAUCAAAAAGUGGUUUUAGUACAAACUAUUGUAGUAUAGUGGUUUUUAGGUGUCGUCCACUAGGAUGGAUUGUUCUCGGUAAUUAAGGCUUGAAUGAGAUGAUAAGAAAUUAUUGCAAUCAAGUGAAAAUGAUUUGACAAUUCAUGAUAAAAGUUCAACAUAACAAUGAUUUCAAAUUUAGAGGAAAAUGAAGGGUAAAAGAGAAGAAAAUUAAUAGAAGAUGAAAUUCUUGGAGGUAGGAUUUUCUAGAAAAAAAUUUCCACGGUGAAUAGAUGUUGAGAUCUAAUUUUCAUCAAGUUAGAUUGAAAACCUAAAUUUUCAUCUAAACCAAUUUUUGAUUUAGCUUUAGGUCUAGAUCUAAUUUCUCUUCAAAUUAGGUCAUUUAAUCCAAGAGAUCAAUUCAAAUUAUAUAUUCAAUUCAUCUUAAACUAUCUUCCAAUGAUUCACAUAAUGCAACUAUUCAAUCUCAUCAAAUCUAGCUUUAAGAAUUUGAUGAAUCUACCUAGCUUGCAUUGUAGUAAUCAUCCAAGACAAUUUGAAGAGAAAAAUCCUCAAAUUUCAAUUAAUCAAUCAAUUGGAUCAAAUUACCUUUUCAAUUCAAGCUCAUUUCUCUAAUUCACCAUAGAUUUUGCCUCUAGAUCCUCCCUCCUUUGAGAAAAAUGAGAUUUAGCCACUCAUGCUUGGAGAUUUUGCCUCACAAAACAUUUUUGGCUAGCGAGAAAAUGAAGGAAAGUGGAAAAUUCUAGAGAAAGAGAAAAUAUGGAAAAUUCUACAAUUAGAAAAUGUCUAAUUUUUUUUGAAAAUGAGUAAAUCAAGUUUCUAUUUAUAGGCCAAGGUCAAGAGGACACUUGGCAUCAUCUAAGAGGUCUUUUAAAGGCUUCUUCAUCAAGAAAUUUGGAGUUUAGUAAUAAAAUGUCCAUUUCGCAAGAGAUCCAGCACUUUCACACGAGCUCCAUCAAUUUCGCAUGAGUGUGCGAAGUGGAAAAUGCAUCAGCACCAAUUUCGCCUUCUUAGAGCAUUUCGCAUGACUGUGCGAAAUUUUCGCAUGGUCGUGCAAAAUCAGCUUCAAGAUUUCCCUUUGAGCUGUAGCCAAAAUUGCCUUCUGGUCCAUUUCAAUUUUAUACUCUGUGUUUUUGGGAUGAAUGACAUGUGAAAGUUGGAAUUUGCUAAAAAAAUAUACAUAUAUUUUUUUGAGUUAAUGUUUGUAAGCAUAAUUCUCCCAAAAACCGGUCAUGCUUCAUCAUAUUGUAUGUUUGUUUUUUUUUAUAAUGUGUGGUUAUUCAUCUUUAUAUUUGUGUAAUGGAUUGAUAUCUAUAAAUUAAGAGUAUCAAUUGAUAGGUAGAUGAAUCAAUUGAUUGGGCAUCUAAGAGUCUUAUGUGUAGAAGACUAAAAUUAUAAAUGGGGAGUUAGAAAACUUUUCAUUUAUAUGAAUAGGGUGUUACAAUUUUUGUAAUCCUAUCAUUAUGAGAUUUAAUUUGUAUAUAAAGUUUAUGAGUAAUGGAGGAAGAUGGAAAAGUAUAACCUAUGCAAUUAUAUAAAUGCAUUCAAGUUGGUAACCCACAAUUAUCCAUUAAUUUGUACAUAAUGUUUGUAAAUAAUGAAUAUAACUCCCGUGUAGUCUUUGAUGCAUGAGAAGACUAAGAGAUAUAAAUCUCUUUUAUAAGAUCAAGAUCCUAAGUCAUACUCUCAUUCUUAUGUCUUUUUGUUAUUUUACUUAUAACAACAUAUAACACACAAGUGACCCGUCUACUAUAUGAGAGUAGUGAGUUGAAGAUCUUGAGCAAAACAAUUCACAAGAUGACUCAAGCUCACUUCAAAAGUAUUAUCAAUAUCAUGGAUGAAGGUAAAAAUAUGAUCAUUAUAUUAUCAUUGCUUUAGCAUUUAUAUCUAUUAUGUUUUAUGCAUCCAAAAUUGAUUUUCCAAAAUAAUUGUUUUCACAUAAAGUUUAGUUAACAUGUACUUCUAUUUUAAAAUUUUAAAAUUUUAAAAUAAAUUUGCAGAAAUCACUUUUAAAUGUUUUUUUAUAAAAAAAAAUUUAAAAUAUGAAAGAAUCACAUAUUUUUUCAACUUUGAAAAAUAGACCUAAUAAACAUAUUUAACAUUUAUAGCAAUUAAAAAUUAAUUAAUAUUUUUUAAAAAAAAAUUAAAUAAAAGCAAUGGUGUAUCCAAAUAAUACCUUAUUCACCCAAUUUAGUUAUCAUAUGCCUUUAGUACCGAAGUGGCUGACUAAAUUUUUUCUCAAGGUAUAAUAAUGCUAAAAGAUCUUUAACCAAAACAUGGACUUCACUCUUAUUUCUUCCUACCACUUUAAUUUCACCCAACUUCACCUAUAGAAGCUCAUUCAUGUCUUAUCUUGUUUGUCUAGUUUGAACCUCAUGUUGCUCAAGUCCCAAAAGGAAUAAAAUUUCAUUCAGAAUAUAAUUAUGCACAAAAUCCUCAUUAGGGUUAGAGUUUGCUCCUUCAUUAAUUAAUUAUAAUGGUUUAGGGUCAGAAUAACAUACUUUAUUAUGUUAAAGUAUCCUAAACUUUGUUAGCAAACACAUAUGGCUGAAAGCGAAGAAUGAUCAAGAGUCCAAGUACUAACAAAGGGCACUUAUGAACCAUAGGUUGAGGAAAGUGGCUUGAGCCCAAGCUUGGGGCUUAGGUUAUUUUUUGUUUAUGCAAUACUUAAAUCCAAACUUAAAGGUGACAUUAGAAACAUAUUUCAAUCUCAUAUUUUAUCCUCUUAACUAUUGGACCUAAUUGCACUCGACAUGGAACUUGUUUAUGCAUUUUGGGAAUCACAUGCAUUUUAGUCCCAAAAUAGCUAUGCAACUUUUUUUUCCACCUAAUUAAGUUCAAAAUUAAGGGGGUGUUUGGUAAAACUUAAUACCUUUUACUAAUGACUUAAAUUGACUUUAAGUUAAAUUAUAUUUAACUUGCUAACUUAAAACUUAUUAUUUAAUUCUUACUUCAAGUAUUAAGGUUGUUUAAUAAAAUUAAUUUAAAACAUAUUUUAAAUCAUCAAAUUGAUAUAUUAUCCUCAUAAAUUAUAACUAGAGUAUAAGAGGUUGAGUGACAAUGAAGGUCGUGGAGUAGUAAAGAAAAUUGUGGAGGUAACUAGGAUAAAUGAGAAUAAAAAAGUAGAAUGAAAAUAUAAAUUUUAAAAUAAGUUAAUUGGUUUUACUUUUUCUUAAAAUUAUUUUUGAUUUUAAGUCAUACCAUUAAAUUAUUUUAAUAAACAUAAUUUACUUAAUAACUUAAAUUAAAUUAUUAAGUUGUUAAUUUACCAAACACCUACUAAUUUUCAAAUUCUAAGUUUAGCUUUGCUUUGCAGUGAAUGCAUUUAGGAUUAUCAAAGAGGUCAUCAAGGGUUUCAAACAUAUUUUAUUGCUCAACUUCUCGAAGAGGGACUUCAGAAGAGAAGAUUCCAUAAUUCUAGUUUUGUAUGCGAUUGUAUGUAUCCUACCACAUGGAGACGAUUCCUCAGCAUGCUGAUUUAUUAUUAAGUUCAUGUGAAUUACGUAUGGAAUUCCAAUUGAUGUGAACAUAAAAUUAAUUGAAUUAUGUGACAUUUUUUUUACGCAGAAUAAAACAUAUACAGUUGGAAGAUAUCUCGAGAUUCUGAUUUUAUAUCUGGCCCUCAAAAUUCUAUUUCACUGUCAGGUUGUGGACGUUCCACCCAGCUGGAGCAGAUCCCUUGGCAUGCUGAUAUGCCAACUAUUGAAAAGUCUGCACCCAUUUUCUAUAUUCAUGAGCUUUUCUCCUGUUCGAAUUAGUUUUGAAGUUAUCUACAGACAUGACUUGUACAAAUUGAAAAGUUUUAAUUAGGGCAGCAAAAGUAAUCCCUUCAAUUUUAUUAUUAUUGUUAUUAUUAUUACCUUAUAAAAAGAAUUUACCCAAUCAAAAGUGAUCGCAUAGUCAAAAUAGAUUUUAUUUUUUCUUAUCUUACAAUAAUAUAAAAAAAUAUAUAUAUACUUUCAAUCAAUGUCUCAUAUUUCUAACACGUACGCGCUCUAGAAUUUCUCGAAUUGUAGUCUAGAGUGUCAACUUUUAGUGUUUGAUCAAAAAGGCCAUAAACAAAUAUAUGAAAAAAGUAAUCAACAAGCAGAGGAUUCUUUUUGAAUAAAAAAGACCCACUUACAAGCAUGGAUUAUAAAUUGUCUUCAGUUGCGGCUGAAACUUUCUAUAUGACUUUAAAGAAAAAAGAGGUCAUAAAUAGAUAGCUGAGAACAAGUUGAGGGAUUCAAAGGCAGCUAUGGUAUAAAUAUUGUUUUAUAAAUUAAACCUUUUGUACCGCCUCUACAAAGGAACACAAAAUUGAGAGAUUCAAAGGCAGCUAUGGUAUAAAUAUUGUUUCAUAAAUUACUUUUCAAAUUUAAUUUGAUAGCAAAAAUUUAAAAUAUAAAAGUAUAAAAAAUUUGUUUCAUUCCCAAAAUUUUUGCAAAUAAAAUUUAAAGUAAUAAAUUAACACCAUGACUCUUUUCACAUCUUAUUCUCAUUUCUAUCAAAGCAAUGAUAGUAAUUGUCUUAUCUAUAAAUUUUAAAUGAUGUAAGAUCAUUGAAUUUUUAUUUUCUUUUAAACUUCUUGUUAUGUAAUUAUCAAACAUAUUUUUUUAAGACAAGAAAAAAAUUACACCGAACAAAUAGAUUUGAUACUUAGAAUAAUUGAAAACAUAAUUCGUAUUUUCCAUUUUUAAAAAUAAUAAAAGCAAAGGUGUUUCAAAACAAUACCUCAUUUGCUCAAUUAAUUAUCACAUUUCCUAAGUACAAAAGUAGGCAAGUAAAUUUUUGCUCAAGUUACAAUAGUGCUCCAAAUCCUUAUCCAAGAUUUUGAUCCUAUUUCACAAUUGUUUUUUAAAACAGUUUUUUUCUUCUCUACAACAAAAAAAAAAAAAAAACAAGAAAAUGUGUUUGAGAAUUGGAAAAUAAAGUGUUUUCAAAAAAACAUAUGUUAGUUGUUUUUAGUUUUUCUUCAUUAGCUUUUUUGAAGGUUGUUUUUAAAAAUAAUUAUACAAAUAUGAAGAAUUAUUAAAAAUAUAAUUUUAUAGACAAAAGUUAUUUUAAAAUUAUAUGCACGAGUUUUGGAAAGUCUUGCAAAAUAAGCAAAACUAUAGGAAAAAUAUGCAAAUAAAAUUUGUAUUAAAAUCAUUGGGGGCCCCCGCAUUUCGGCUCAUGCGCUUCCACUCGAUGGUGAGCUCGAUUUUUAUUUUGAAAAAUGAUUUAUUAUUUGAAAAAUGACUUGAAGUCGCCACUUAUUUUUGUUUUAUUUUUAAAGGGUAAACAAAAUAAGAAAGAAAACUCUAAAUGUGACUCCUUAUUUGGAAAAGGUGGUCUGUGAAAAACCGGAUCGGGCUCGGGGGUUAGGUUACUUAUUGGGAAGGUACGGUAAAAACCGUAGCACCCCUCUAAGUCCCCAAAAACGGGUCUUUACUAAUGAAAUGAAGCAAUCAUGACAAUUGAUAAGUAAAUCAAUGGAUACCGAAUGAAAAUCGAAACAAAAUACCCAAAUGAAUUUGAGAGACAAAGAACGUACCUGAGUGACGAGCUGAUUUAUUUCAUUGGAAACAAAGGUUAGUGAACAAACACAAAUGAUCGUGUGCAUAUCAUAGAAUAGAACAAAUCAAUCACAUAUAGCAAUCAAAUCAAUCAAUCAUAAAAUCGCAUAUGUUGGGCCCCCACUAAAACCCAUUUAUUUUUGCAUGAAUUAAUUCUGUAAAUUCCAUCACUCGGAAUUAUAGAAUUUAAUUCAUGCUUAUUUUAAAACAUUUAAAAAACAGAGGAGAUGUGAGUAUUGCUCAUCAGAAAAGAAGAUGGCAACAAAGUUUUAUUAAAAAUGGGAUUUUUGGUACCUAAAACUCUAAGGAUGAAAAUUUUGGAGUUGAGAUUAUUUAAAAAGUUAGAAUCUGAAAAAUUAUUUUUAAAAAAAGAUUUAGAAAGUUAUUUUCAAAACCAAAAGGGAGAAAUAGGAGGUGGCAUGUGGCCCAAAGGUGGCCAUGCGGAGGUGGCCAUGCAAAAACAUUUUCUUCUGGGCCAAGGGAGAGACUGCGCUAUAGGGAUCAAUGGUAUUGUUGGGCUUGUCAUAACUCUAACCAGGAUAGGAUCCCAGCCACAUAUAGCUGUAACUAGGUUGCUACAUUGAAAGAGUACCAAGAGAGGCACCCUAGCUUAACGGAGGUCAGGCCUGGUAGCCUUGCGGAGGAUAUCUCUAACCAUUGCCAGAUUUCUGAUAUGAUUCUCACUGAUGACUUCGUUGACCAACUGUUCAGCAAACUCAAUCUGUUCACUGGUACUGCCUAUGUGUGCAAUUCUCUCCAUUGAUAUGUCACCAGAAAGGAAAUGCAAAAGUAUAAACUAGAUACGAGCUCCUGUCUUGGCUUGCAUAUUUCUAAUGAUCUCACCGCCCUUACCAACUAUCAGACCAACCUUGUUGUUUGGUACUUUCAUCACGAGCUGUCCAAACCCAGUCCAACCAAUUAACCUUCAAGAAAUUAUGCCAAACCUCUUUGCUUAUAUCUGUUGUGUCAUUCCAUAAGAAUUGAACGCACCCAUAUGUAAGCACCCGUGAUGUGUCGUCACACUCCAACUGCAAAUUAAAUCGAACAAGACCUUUCAUGGAAGCAUCUCUGACAUCUAAAUGAGACCCUGUCAAACCUUGAAUUAUCUGGAGUUCAUCAAGUGCAUCAUCAAAUGCUCUUCAUUCAGAGUGUCCAACUUAGCAAUAGCUUCAUCAAAAACCUAUUUAUCCAGAUUACAAGCAUGAUCCAGGGGAUUCAGAAUCUUAUAGUAAAAGACGGAGAAGUUAAGUGCAAGCCUCAAGCAGAUAAGACGGGUUGAAGCCAAUUCCACAGCUGCAAUAUCCUACGCUGAUUUUAUAAGCUACGAGAGUGCUCUCCGUCGCCUCUCUCAUCUCGGCUCCGGUCUUGAAUGCUGAUAGAUAACAACGAUAAUCGCUCUUCAUCUUUAAACAAAGCGACUUUGGGUCACUAGCCAUAGCCGAAUGAAUAAGCUACGAAUCCAGCAGACGAAGAGUAUCGUCACAGAUGGAGGAUUGUUGAAACAUAACACGCAUAUAAUGGAAACAGACUCGUGUUGGCUCCUGCCCGCUCCCAAUGGGUAUGGCCCUCAUGCUCAUUGACAUGUUCGAAGACGUCAACAAGCGCACCAUAGACCUUCUGUAGGCAGAGGAUUGGGUUUAAUGGGUUUAGAAAGAAUUUGUGGCAUGUAUGGGUAUGGAAAUAGGUGUGAAUGAUAGCCUUGCAUGCAUGAGGAGUGGUGAAUAGGUUGAAGAGAGUGGGUUUAGAGGAUAGAAAUAUGGGUAUAGUUGUGGGUUUAGAAAAUGGGUACAGUAUUAGUGGGACGGGUAGUGGAAAAAUGGAUUGGAAGGCAUUGGAAAAUGAGGUCUCUAUGGUGGCCAUGCAUGCGUCAAAAAAUAGAAAGGAGUGCAUGGAGGUUAAAUGGAAGGAUGAAUGAUGGAAGUAGCAGCUUGGGUAGGUGUAAGCUUUGGAUUUGGGUAGGUAAAAAAAAUGAGAGAUAGGUAUGAGAUAGCCAAUGAGAGAUCUGCACCAUUUGGCAUUGUGAUCGCUCGGUUUUUGUCGUUUAUUGGAUCAAAACAAAAUUUAUAACCUAAUUCACUAUUCUAUAGCAAUUUGUACUCGAUCAAAAAAUGGUUUUAGUACAAACUACUAUAGUAUAGUGGUAUUUAGGUAUCGUCCACAAGGAUGGAUUAUUCUCGGUAAUUAAGGCUUGAAUGAGAUGAUAAGAAAUGAUUGUGAUCAAGUGAAAUUGACUUGAAAUUGCAUGAUAAAAUUCCAAAAUAACAAUGUAUUCAAAUUGAGAGAAAAAUGAAGUGUAAAAGAGAAGAAAAUUAAUAAGAGGUGAGAUUCUCGGAGUUAGGAUUUUCUAGAAAGCAAUUUCCAUGGCGAAUAAGUGUUGAGAUCUAAUUUUCAUCAAGUUAAAUUGAAAACCUAAAUUUUCAUCUAAACCGAUUUUUGAUUUAGCUUUAGGUCUAGAUAUAAUUUCUCUUCAAAUUAGGUAAUCUAAUCCAAGAGAUCAAUUUGAAUCAUAUAUUCAAUUCAUCUUAAAUUAUCUCCUUAUGAUUCACACGAUGCAACUAUUCAAUCUCAUUAAAUUUAGCAUUAAGAAUUUAAUGAAUCUACCUAGCUUGCAUUGUAGUAAUCAUCCAAGACAAUUUAAAGAGAAGAAUCCCCAAAUUUCAAUUAAUCAAUCAAUUGGAUCAAAUUACCUUUGCAAUUCAAGCUCAAUUCUCUCAUUCACCAUAGAUCUUGUCUCUAGAUUCUCCCUCCUCUGAGAAAAACAAGAUUUAGCCACUCAUGCUUGGAGAUUUGAUCUCAUAAGACAUGUUUGGCUACCAAGAAAAUGAGAGAAAAUGAAGGAAAGUAGAGAAUUAUAUAGAGAAAAGAAAUCUGAAAAGUUCUACAAUUAGAAAAUGUAUCAAAAGUCUUUAAAUGAGUCAAUCACAUUUUUAUUUAUAGGCCAAGGUCAAGAUGACACUUGGCAACAUCUAAGAGGUCUUUCGGAUGCUUCUUCAUCAAGGAAUUUGGAGAAAAUACAUUUUCGCACGAGCCUUAGCAAUUUCGCAUGAUGGUGCGAAGUGGAAAACCAUCAGCUUCAUUUUUGUCUUUCUGGAGCGUUUCGCAUGACUGUACAAAAUUUUCGCAUGGUUGUGCGAAAUUGCUUUUCACUUUUCCCUUAGUAUGCUACAGCCAAACCUAUUCUGUUUCAUUUCACAUGGUCAUGCGAAAUUGAAAAACAUGUUUUUUCGACUCCUCUUUGCAAUUCUUUCCAUUUCUUCAUUUUUAAUCCACCUCUACCACUUUCAAUUCAACUCCAAAUCCCAAUCCAAACCGAUUGCAUUGCUUAUUUCAUUAUGCAUUUGGAUCAUCAUCAACUUUAUUUGUUUUCUUCAAUUUGGUUCAUCUCUUUUGUCACCAAUUUAUCAAAAUCAUACCUUAAAAUGACUUUAAAACUUCAUAAAACUUGUUAGUAACUAUUGCAAGGGCAAAAACAUGUUAAUUGAGUGUUUUAGGCAUAAUUACUACUCAAAAGAUGUGAAAAUCAUGAGAAUUAUUAUCUAAAAUAUGCUCUUUUUGAGUAGUAAUCAUUCCCCCCAACCAACACAUUGCUAGUCCCUUAGCAAUUGUAUGACAAAAAGAAAGAAAAAUAAGGCCAAAGAAAAGAAAUCAUAACUCACAUAAGCAAAUCAUUUGAAAAAAAAAAUGUUUGAAAUUUCCAUAGCAUAAAUGGUUGAUAAACAAGCACACCCUACUAUCCAUAGGUAUCAACAAAAUCCCAACUUAUUUACUAUCUCUAAUAGAAAUAAUAUCAUGCUAAUCAAGGUAUCAAAAACAUAUCCAUCUUCAUUUCCCAAACAAUCUUUGUAAACAAGUCUUGAGUGUAAUUAAGCUAGCUCCCGAAUAUAGUACUCAAAACUAAUCCUCCCCCCAACCUAGCUCAAUUUAUCUCAAACAACAAAAAUCACUCUCUCAUAGGUUAAGAACACACCUAUCUUUAUUUUAUUAUUAUUUUUUUUACAAAUGACUUAUUGUAGGAGUGCAAUGCUAAAGGUAUCUCCAAGUAUAUGGUCCAUGUAGCGGGGAUUCAUCGAUGACUCCCAAUCAUAAGGCAUAGGGCACCAAGUUUAUAGGACUAUUUAACUAGCCACUAACUCCUCAGACUUCACCCCGGACUCCUCAAAUUAGGAUCCAAUACAUUAACACCUACAAUUGAGUUCAUACCCCACCUAUCCACCCAUGUAACAAGCAUUGAGGUCGGUGGCUCCCAACCAAAAUGGCUUAGGGCACCAGGCUUUAAAGACCUUUGGGCCAUAUACCCCUCGGACCUUGCUCAGGUUUCAAGGCAAGCAUAACUCAACAUUUUUAUUCAUCAACUCUUUUUUUUUUUUUUUUUUCAAUUGGGCACAUUGGCCUCUUUUUAAGGUGUCUCAACUCAGUUCAAGAGUAAUCAAUGUUACAAGAUAAUUAAGUCUAAGUCUUAAGGUUAGAAUAGUUUUUCAUCUUAUAUCUGGGGUCUAGAGUGCAUAGUAUGUGUCAAGACUCAAAUAGAAAUGACAAUUUGGAAAAUGAAGACUUUAAAGUCAAAUCAACUUUAAUUCACAUAACCAAUCUUCUAAGAUCAAGCAAAUAAGCUAGUAUUCUAAAUCAACUUUUUUUAAGUUAGGUUUGCUCAUUCAUCAAUCACAAAUGCUAUAGUCAUCUCAAAAAAAUCUCACCAAAUAAGUCACAAAUGUGAUUUAUGAAAAAAAAAAAUUAUAGAAAAACUAAUAACAUAUUUCCUUCUCUUCAUUUUUAACCCUCCCCCAACCUAACUUGUACAUUGUCCUCAAUGUGUAAUGAAAAUAUACAAAGAAAGGAAGGAAAGAUACCUCAAUCUCUCAUGAAUUUCAGUUUCAAUAGCUAAAACAAAAAUAAGAUCACACAUGAGAAUUGUUGGAUAUGAAUGACAUAAGAGAAGAAAAUAUGAAAACAAAUCUAUUAAAAACCAAAAAAAAAAAACUAUGUUAGAGACACAAUGUAUGGAGUAAAAUCAAGGUAUAGAUGAUGACAAUGUCCAAAGAAAACAUGAUUUCAAUGAUAAGUCAAUGAUUCUCAUGGAGUUUUUGAAAAUUUCAGACAAGUGUGCAAACUAGACAAGAAGGUGGUGUGUGUUGCAACCACUUUUUCUUUUGAAAUAAUUUGGCACAAUCAUGCGGAAAUUCGCAUGUACAUGCGAAUUGGUCAAGAGAGCUUUAUCUUAUUAUAGUCUUCAGCAUAAUUUUCGCAUAGUCAUGUGAAAAUUCGCAUGUUGAUGCGAAAUGGAUCUGAGGCUUAAAACUGUUGUAGUCAUCCACAUUAGUUUCGCACAGUCAUGCGAAAACUUCACAUGAGUGUGUGAAGUGGUCCAGAUGGCUCAUUUUACUACAGUCUUUAAGAUGGAUUUCGCAUAGUCAUGCGAAAUGCUCUAGAGGGUUCAUUUUUACAACUAUCAUUUUCAGUUUUGCACAGUCAUGCGAAAAUUUUGCAUGACCAUGCGAAUUGUGACAAAGACUCAUUUUGUACAUUUCCGAAGAUAUGAAAACUCCCCUAUUUUGGCAUGACUGUGUUAUUUUGGCAUGACCUCCCUGUUUUGGCAUGACUAUGCAAAAUGGUGAUGGGCCAUUAAAACUCUUUUUUCCUUUGCUUCAUGCAUUCCAUCCAUCCAGAAAGUCCUUCAAAACACAAGUCAAAGAAUUGAGAUGGAUUUAUUUAAUGGAAACUAAAAAAAAAAUCAAAAUCCAAAGGAAAUGAUAAACCAUUGGGCUAGCUAGCCAUUGACAUGACUAAGCCCAUUAACCUUUGCAUCAAUACUCAAUUUGGAUAUGGCUUGCAAACAAUGAAUGGACCAACUCCUUGGUACUUAAGCUUUCCCAGAAAAAUAUGUGGCUUGAAAUAACCUUCUUUGAACUUGUUCUUUUGAAUAAGUUGGUCAUGCCAUUCCUUGAGUUUCUUUUUCAUGGUCUUUGGAUUAUUUUUCAUACCAUGCUUCAUUUUUUUCACUUUCUUGAAGCUGAAAGACCAUUUCAUUAACUUCAAAGGUUGAAUUUCUUUAUUGAUCCUCCAAACUUCAAUCCGUUCAUUGGAAAUUGCUUCACUAAGUUUUGAAAAAUUAUCUUCAACCUUUUCUUUCACUAGCACUUUCAUAGGCAAUUCAAUCAAAUAAGCCUCCUUAAGUUCCUCCUCCUCCUUGGUACCAUGCUUCUUAUAUGAAUGAAAAAUGUUUAGCUCAAUUGUCAUGUUACCAAAGGUAAGUUGCAUCACCCCACUUCGACAAUUAAUUAAUGCAUUUGCUGUGGCAAGGAAAGGUCGGCCAAGUAUAAUAGGAACAUGGUUGAGUCCACUAGUUCCUUGUUUCAUAUCAAGCACCACAAAAUCAACCGGAUAAUAGAAGAUAUCGAUUUGGAUCAACAUAUCCUCAAUAAUUCCUCUUGGAAACUUAACCGAUCUAUCCGCCAAUGAAAGUGUGAUGGAAGUAGACUUUAGUUCUCCAAACCCCAAUUGCUUAUAUACCGAGUAGGGAAGAAGAUUCACACUUGCCCCCAAGUCUAAAAGUGCUCUUUUCACAAAAGUGUUGUCAAUCUUCACCGAGAUAGUUGGACAUCCCGGAUCCUUAUACUUGAUUGGGGUUUUACAUUGGAUGAUUGCACUAACUUGUUCAGUCAAGAAAGUUUUCUUUUUCAAAUGCAUCCCUCUCUUUAUGGUACACAAAUCCUUAAGAAACUUGGCAUAGGUUGGAAGUCUUAUCAUGUCAAGGAGUGGUAUAUUGACUUUGACUUGCUUGAGAACUUCAAAAAUUUCUAGAGCAUUAUUUACCACUUUCUUGGAUUGAAGAGCCAUAGGAAAAGGUGGAGCUAAGAGCAUAUCUUUCUUCUUAACCUCUUCUUUAACAAUCUCAUCUUCCUUUGAUCUAUCAUCCUCAUUCACCUCUUUCCAUUUUUCUUGUUCUUUCACAUUUUCCUUUUGUUCCCCUCUUUUAUUCUCUUUUGGUUUUGGCAUAGGUUGAUCAACUUGCUUACCACCUCUUAAGGUAAUGACUGCUUUGACUUCAUCCUUCUCAAUAGAACUUUCACUUGUCUCUCCAAUUUCAUGGACUCCACUUGGAUUUUGUUGGGGUUAUGAAGAGAAUUUUCCUUUUUCUUACACUGUAUGCAUGCUUGUGAGUUUAGAAAUAGCAAGCUGCAUAUUAUCAAUCUUUUGUGUGAGAUUGGUUUGCAAGCUAUCAAAUUUCUGAUUGAAAGAUGUCUCCACAUGAUCUAUUCUUUGGUUUACUUGAAUAUUGAUAUUCUUUUGAUCACCAAUAAAAUCACCCAAAAUUUUACUCAAGCUUACAAUAGCUUGCUCAACCAAAGAAAUUUGUUGUGGAGAGUCUUCCAUGACUUGUUGGCUUUGUGAGUAUUGACUUGAAGAAAAUUGUUCUUGUCCACAAUUCCAUGACAUGUUUAGAUGAUUCUCAACAAGUCUUUCCCCCAUAGCUAGUAUUGUAGGACAAUCACUCACUUCAUGUUCUAUAGAUUGACAAUUAGAACAUUGCUCCUUGUAAAUUGGAUUAUCAUAUAUUGCAUUCACCACAUGAAAUCCCUUAGCUUCAAGUUCCUCUAGCCUUUUUGUCAAAGCUACCAUUUUAGCUUGUAGAUCAACAUCUUCAUUCAACAUAUACAUUCCUCCAUUUGAAUUGCUUUGAGACUUGGACUUGUGUAAAUCCCUUUCAUGUGGCUCAUUCCAUGACCUUAAUAUUUUAGCCACAUAAUUCAAGAAUUCAAAAGCUUCAUCGGGACUUUUGCUCAUAAAGCCACCUCCACACAUGGUUUCUAGCAAUUGCUUCAUAGUUGGCGACAUGCCCUCAAGAAGUAACUCACCAACAUCCAUGUGUCAAAACCAUGAUGAGGACAAACAUUGAUUACUUCCAUAUAUCUUUCCCAACAAGCAUAAAAUUUUUCAUUGUCCAAUGCCACAAAGUUGGUAAUUUGCCUCUUCAAGCCACUUGUGCGAUGUAUGGGGAAAAUUUUCUUUAAGAAGGUUGUUUGUAGUUCCAACCAUGACCUUAUGGUUUGGGGCCCCAAUGAGUUGAACCACAACUUAGCCUUAUCCUUCAAUGUGAAUGGAAAAAGCUUCAAUCUCAUAAGCUCAAUGGAUGUGUUUCCCUCAUGAAAUGUAUGAAAAACCUCUUCAAAAUCCUUGAUGUGAGUAUAAAGAUUCUCAUUCUCCAUUCCAUGAAAUUGAGGUAGAAGGGGUACCAAGUGAGUUUUUAUCACAAUAGCCUCAUUAGGAAGAACUAUACAUGAUCCCAUGCCUAUCCUUUGAGGAUGCAUAUAUUCUCUCAUUGAUCUAGACAUGUGAGAAUUGCCAUUGUUUGGUCCUUGUUGAGUUUGUUGAUUUUCCCCUUGAUUUUCCAUUUCCUCAACAAUUGGAUCACAAAACAAAGAUGAUUAGCAAUAUAAGUUUUUUUUCAAUCUCUCCCUUGAAUUUUAUUCUCAAUGUAGUAUGCAAUGGAGAGCCUACAAAACAAGCUUAGAAAAACCAAAACAAACCAAGAAGAACAAAAAGAGAAAUAAAAGAUAAAAAUGGAAAAAAAAAUAAUAAUAAGAAAAAUGGAGAAUCGAUAAAGAGAACUUCACCAAUCUUGUGAUGUGGAUCACAAGGGCUAAUCCUCACCAAAAAAAAAAAUGCCUCAAUCACCUAGGCACCAUCCCCGGCAACAGUGCCAUUUUUGAUUGCUCGGUUUUUGUCGUUUAUUAGAUCAAAACAAAAUUUAUAACCUAAUUCACUAUUCUAUAGAAAUUUGUACCCAAUCAAAAAAUGGUUUUAGUACAAACUACUGUAGUAUAGUGGUAUUUAGGUAUCAUCCACAAGGAUGAAUAUUCUUGGUAAUUAAGGAUUGAAUGAGAUGAUAAGAAAUGAUUGUGAUCAAGUGAAAUUGACUUGAAAUUGCAUGAUAAAAUUCCAAAAUAACAAUGUAUUCAAAUUGAGAGAAAAAUAAAGUGUAAAAGAGAAGAAAAUUAAUAAGAGGUGAGAUUCUCGAAGUUAGGAUUUUCUAGAAAGCAAUUUCCAUGGUGAAUAGGUGUUGAGAUAUAAUUUUCAUCAAGUUAGAUUGAAAACCUAAAUUUUCAUCUAAACCGAUUUUUUAUUUAGCUUUAGGUCUAGAUCUAAUUUCUCUUCAAAUUAGGUAAUCUAAUCUAAGAGAUCAAUUUGAAUCAUAUAUUCAAUUCAUCUUAAAUUAUCUUCCUAUUAUUCACAUGACGCAACUAUUCAAUCUCAUUAAAUCUAGCAUUAAGAAUUUAAUGAAUCUACCUAGCUUGCAUUGUAGUAAUCAUCCAAGACAAUUUGAAGAGAAAAAUCCCCAAAUUUCAAUUAAUCAAUCAAUUGGAUCAAAUUACAUUUGCAAUUCAAGCUCAAUUCUCUCAUUCACCAUAGAUCUUGUCUCUAGAUUCUCCCUUCUCCGAGAAAAACGAGAUUUAGCCACUCAUUCUUGGAGAUUUGAUCUCACAAGACAUGUUUGGCUACCGAGAAAAUGAGGGAAAAUGAAGGAAAUUAGAGAAUUAUAUGAGAAAAGAAAUCUGAAAAGUUCUACAAUUAGAAAAUGUAUCAAAAGUCUUUAAAUGAGUCAAUCACGUUUCUAUUUAUAGGCCAAGGUCAAGAUGACACUUGGCAACAUCUAAGAGGUCUUCCGAAUGCUUCUUCAUUAAGGAAUCUGGAGAAAAUACAUUUUCGCACGAGCCUUAGCAAUUUCGCAUGAUGGUGCGAAGUGGAAAAUCCAUCAGCUUAUUUUUUGUCUUUCUGGAGCGUUUUGCAUGACUGUGCGAAAUUUUUGCAUGGUCAUACAAAAUUGCUUUUUACUUUUCCCUUAGUAUGCUGCAGCCAAGCCUAUUCUAUUUCAUUUCGCAUGACUAUGCGAAAUUGAAAAACAUGUUUUUUCGACUCCUCUUUGCAAUUCUUCCCAUUUCUUCAUUUUUAAUCCACCUCUACCACCUUCAAUUUAGCUCCAAAUCCCAAUCCAAACUAAUUGCAUUGCUUCUUUCAUUAUGCAUUUGGAUCAUCAUUAACUUUAUUUGUUUUCUUCAAUUUGAUUCAUCUCUUUUGUCACCAAUUUAUCAAAAUCAUACCUUAAAAUGACUCCAAAACUUCAUAAAACUUGUUAGUAACUAUUGCAAGGGCAAAAACAUGUUAAUUGAGUGUUUUAGGCAUAAUUACUACUCAAAAGAUGUGAAACUCAUGAGAAUUAUUAUCUAAAAUAUGCUCUUUUUGAGUAGUAAUCACAUUGCAACACCCUUAUUUUGUUAUACCCAUUUGUAUGCUUAUCCUUUACAUAAGGAGCUUGUCUGACACCUUUAUAGAAGCGGACAAAAAGCAUGGCUUGCUUGUAGAUCCAGUGCAACUUUCAGUAACACCCAACCCCUAUCAUUUUGACCCAAAAGGAUCUAUACCUAUGAUCAUUGAACUCAUUCCAUUUUGAGAACAAUCUUCAUGAACUCAUAAACGAAAUAACUUAUUGAAACUGAAGGUAGCACCUGUGGUAAGCCGAUUUCAAUAUAUCAUGCACACCAUAGAAAAUUGCACCUGAAGGUGCCAUACUUAUAGUGGAAGGCACCAAACCCUUGUAAAUGGAGAAGAAUCCUUCAGUUCGGAUCAUAUGGAGGAAAUGCCAAUAACACUACCCAAGGCUUUACCACCCGGUGCCACCAUCUUGGUCUGGAUUUAACAUGGUACCCAAUAGUAAGCGGAGUAUGGUAGUAGUAAUUCUAGCUGCAUCACCAGCAAUUGUCUUAAUUAGCUCAAAUAUAUGCUUCUGUUCACCAUGAACUAUAUAUUCCAGCUUUAGUCUCCUUUGAUUGCAUAUCAUUUCCUCCACAAAACUUUCGUUUACUAUCAUCAAACUGCCAUCCUAUACCACAAUGGUCCCAUCAACCCUACUGACCAUCCAAAUGUCAUUAAAUGAGCUAGAAGCUGGGGACUCUCAACAGCAAGAGCACCUUGAGGUUGAAUGAAUUUAGAAUAACCCACUGAAAACUCUUAUAUAGCUUCUUUAGGUGGAGAUGAGGAAGGAGAAUAGCCAAAAUAGAGCACAACAGAGUGAGCAAAGCAUUAAGUGGGAUCCCCCUUUCAUAUUGAAAUCAAGGGGUUCCAGCCAGUGGUGCAACAGGAGAGUUUAAAACAAAGAUCCAAAUGAGAGCAUCAAUAAACUCCCACCAUGGGAGUGAGCCAUAUUCAAAAAAACAAAUAUAAGAGAAAAGUAAUGCAUCAUCACAUACCCAGACAAUCGUCCAAUGCUUAGAAAAAAAAAAAAACCAAAACAACCAGAGAAGAUGGAAGAUAAAGAAAACAGAGUGAUGAGUGAAAAUAAUCCAAAAAGCUAUAUCAAAUGUACCUAGAAAUGCUCUUUCCAAUUUUCUUUUCUUCCCAACUACCUUCAGCAAACUAGAUUUGCUUUCUCUCCUCUGCUCCUAAUCAAACUACACCCUCAAGCAAUCUGAAAAAUGCAAUCCUCUCUCUCACAACCUCAGCGCACCAACCAUCUCUACUUCUCUCAUUGUUGCUCCAACUCCUUACAAAAAUAUCCCCUCUUUGUCUCUCCUCCCAAGCUCUUUCUCUCUCUCUCUCUCUCACUUCUCCUCAGCUAUGCUCUCUCAAUCCCUCUAAAAAAAAACAUCCUUCUCUCGCUCCUCUGUAACCUCAAACUUUUCUCUCAAGCUAAAGGAAACUUCUCCCCCCGAUAUCUCCUCUCCUCCCUAGCAACCAAAAAUACCCCUCCUCUGCCAGAAUGCCUCACCUUCUCUCUCCUACGCUCCUCCAUAACGGCCUGAAGAUUCUUAUGCCAUGCAUCAGCCGCUGAUUGCCUUCAGAAAAGAUCACUGCCUAUCCAUCCUCUCAUGCACAUGUUGCCAAAAAUAAAAAAAGGUGGUAAAGAAUGCUCCCUAAAAUGCCCUUACCUAUAAACCAAAACGAGGGUUUUACAGGCGCACAAUAUUUGUGGAAAAAUAUUCUUUGCUGAAGAAUAUUUUUUAAAGAUCAAUUGAAAGCCUAAAGCAGCUUGUUCCCAAAUGAAUUUAUUGAAUGGUGAAAAACACGUGUGUUGCGAUUUUUUGGAUUUGUAGGGGGUAUUUUAUAAAGCUUUUUUCUCUUUGUGAAACUCCUUUUCAUAUGUGAAAUUGUUUUAUUUUUAUUUUAUCAUUUUCAUUGAAGGAAGUUGCAAAUAUUUAUAGAUAAAAUUUUAAAAAAUAAAUUUAGAAUUUCUAAGAUUUGAUUACUUAAUUAAAAAAAAAAAUUGGUUUCUUGAUUUUAGCAACUUGUCUUCUUCAUUAAGGAAGUUUGCUAACAAGAGAAUAUUUACUUCUCAUUUUAUUUUGACUUCAAUUGGAAGACUUGUUUCAUUUGUUUACAAAAUUUUCCAACAAGAAAAUAUUUAUUUCUAAUUCUCUUUUGAUUUCAAUUGUUUGAUUUGAUUUGAUUUUGCAAGACUUUAUUUUAUAGCCUUCCAAAUUUCACUACGUGUCAUUUUUUGAAUUGAAUGCCACAUGCUCAAUAUAUAUGACUCAUCACUUAUUAAGCCUGAGUUUUGUUGAGCUAAAGAGUUACAAUUUUGAAGACUAAUUUGGUAGUAUUUUAAUCCACUAAAAUUUUUUGUCUACAAAUGCCCCCUCUUCAAAAUAGAUCACACACAUGCAUUGUAAUGUAUAAGAGGUGAGUCUUGAAGUUAGCCUUUUGAAUCUUCAAUAUCCUUCUUUGAUUUUUUUUUUCGAAGAAAUAUUUUAAUAGGAAUUUCCUAUUCAAAAUACUUUUCUUCAACUUUUUUCGAACAUUGCUUUAUUUAUUUAUUUUUUUUCUACCUCGUAUCAAAGAAAAACCUUGUGUUAAUGGGAAAGCUUCUUAUUUGAACAUCUAUUGUCUUUUCUCAUGGUAUUUCACUUCCAAUUUGUCAACCUAGAAGAAGUCCUUCACCCUAGCUUGUUCAAUUGCAUCUUAGACUUGGUCACAUGCCUUUAACUUGCAAUUCUUCCUCCACUUUGUCUUUUUCUUUUUUAUUUGUUUAAAAAAUAGUACAAAAUAUUUGAGCAAGACCAUAAGCAAGAGAAGAGAGGUGGUGAAUGGAGCACCAACUAACCUUAGGUCAAGAUCUUGAGCAAGAGAAGUAAGGUGGAGCGUAGAGCACAAACUUCUCUAGAGCAUGGUAGGCAUACCAUCAUGGAGUUGUCUUCUGCAUGGAGCAUGGUAGGGCAUUAUAUAUAUGAUAGGGUGGGCCAUUAUGUAACAAUGAAGAACAAAAAUCCAUGGUGUACAAUUGGGAACAACAAUUCAUGCUAUCAAGCUUCAACCUUUUUUUUUUUGUUUUUUUUUUAAUCCCUAUCUCCACCCCCCGACCCAAUAUUUUUUCAAGUUUCCAGAUUCCUUUUGAUUCUUUCUCAUUUUAUUUUUUUCAACUCUUUUUUUUCCUCCCUUUUUAACCAUUGUUUUUAAGGAAGAAAUAGAUUCACCAUCCCUUACCACAAGGUCAAUCUCCAUUGCUUGCAAAGACAAAUUUGCUUUUUGGUGUUUUUUUUCUUCAAAAAUUAUCUUAACAUUUUAAGAUAUAUAUAUAUAGAUAUAGAUAUUUAAAAAACUUAAAUAUCCAUAAUAAAAAUAAAUAUUUAAGGCUCUUGACUUGUUUAAAUUGGCUUGACUUGGAUACUUAGCGGGACCAUACUUAACACCCAUGUAGAUGAGCUAUAAUCUUGAUGGUAGGUUGUGUUGUAUUUUUUGACAUUUAAUGUGGCUUAAGAGUUAAAGUCUUCACUCAUGCAAAUUAGCUUGGUUUGGAUGCACAAUGGUCUCUAACUUCUUAAUGCUUAAUUAAACUUGGAACCAUAUUUAACACCCAUGUAGACAAGUCAUAAUCAUGACAUGGAGCACUAUUUUAUUUUAACUCUUAAUGCAACUUAAAUAUUAAAGUCUUCACUCAUACAAAUUAACUUGGGUUAGAUGCACAAUGGUGUUCAACUUGGUAAAAUUAAUUAAAAUUGAAACAUUUAACACCCAUGUAAACAAGUCAUAACUUUCACAUGGAACAGUGUUGUAUUUUUAGCUUAAUGUCGCUUAAGUGUUAAAGUCUUCACUGAUGUAAAUUAGCUUGGCUUAGAUGCAUAGUAGCAUUCAACUUUUUAACACUUAAUUUAAAUUCAUACCAUAUUGAAAACCCAUGUGGACAAGACAUAAUGAGAAAAUAAAUGGCUAAUCUAAAUAGAUAAAAAUACCUAACAAGGAAGGAGGGGGGUGAAUUGGAGUUUAAAAAAAAAAUAUAUUUUUAAACACAAUAAAAUUAAGUACAAGAAGCACAAAUAUAAAGAGAUAAGUUAUAGAAAUCAAACUCAGAUUUAUAGUGGUUCGACACUUCCUUGCCUACAUCCACUCUCCUCAAACUCCUAACCGAGUGAGGGUUCCACAUAUACUUGAAGCUUCAACCAAGCUUCUAAUCACUUUUUACACUUGGAUUUUAGCUCCAAUGGGCUCUUACACAUUCUCUUCAAGUCUCUACUCACUUGAAGAUUUUAACACACAAUUAACAGUUUGAAACUCUCAACCUAGCUCAACAAUGGCUCAAAUACAACUCAAGGCUAGGAUGAAUCACAAAGGUGCAUUAAAUAAUAUGCAAAUGAAGAUUUAAUGCACUGAGAAAAGAAUGAGAGCUUUUAUGGCAAGAACAAGUAGGUAAACAAAUCAAUGGAGGUGUUCUCUUACUCAUAAAUGAAGUGGAACUCUCAAUUUAUAGGUUUCUAAUCUCGGAAGCUAAAAAACCAAAAAGUAACCUCGAUUGGUCGAGUUAGGGGUCGACAGGUUCACUAGUCGUUAGAGCAUUAAAUGCGUGGCAGGUGAUCGUUACCCUCGACCGGACCUUGACUGGGAAGGCAAAUCUCUCAACUGGGAAAGAAAGGCUAUUGGAAGAGAGAAGGCUUUUUGCAUCUUUUGACUAGACCUCAACCGAGAAGGAGCAACUGAUCGACCAGUACCCUAGCCGGUUGAGCCGGUUGGCCAGUGCCUCAACCAAUUCACCAUUUUUUGGCCCUAAAACCUAUCUUUUUGUGGUCUUUUUUGCUUCUAACACUUAAACAAGGUCUUUAGGUAAAAUAAUAUGUCAAUUUUGAAACGCUUUGCCUAAGGUUCAUUUGAUAGAACUCGGAUUUUGAUGGAAAUGUGACUUUAAUGCGUAAACCGAGUUUUAAAAGAUGUAUGAAAUGAUAUGAAAAUUCUAAGUACACUCAUGCAUUCAUUUUACAUAGUUUUCUAUAAUUAAAAAGUCUUUCAAAAGUCUUGAUCUUGCAUCCAUUAGAUCAUUUGAUUAAUUUCCAAAUUAAUAUUUGAAAUUCUUUAUAAUUCAAACCAAUUAGUAACUUAACCAUGGUUUGUUAUCAUCAAAACAUGAUUAGGAGAACCCUUGGGCUAACACAUAACAUUGUAGCAAUGUUAUAUUUUUUACACUUAAUGCAGUUUAAGUUCUAAAAUCUUCAUUUCUAUGAAUUGGUUCACCUUGGAUGCAUAGUGGUGUCUAAAUUAUAAUACUUAAUUAAAAUUGAAACCAUAUUUAACACCCAUGUAGACAAGUCAUAACUUUGACAUGGAGUGGCAUUGCAUUUUUGACACUUAAUGCAACUUAGGUGCUAAACUUUUCACUCAUGAGAAUUGGUAUGGGUUGGAUGCAUGUGGUGUCGAACUUUUUAACACUUAAUUAAAAUUGGAACCAUAUUUAACACUAUCUAGAUAAGUCAUAACCUUGAUGUGAAGCGACAUUGUAUUUUCAACACUUAAAGCAACUUAGGUGCUAAAGUCUUCACCCAUGCAAAUUAGUUCAUCUUGGAUGUACAAUGGUGUCCCAUUUUUUAACAUAUAAUUAAAAUUGGAACCAUAUUUGACACUCAUGUAGACAAGUCUAGCCAUGAUGUAAAGUAGUGUUGUAUUUUUAAAACUUAAUGCAGCUUCAAUGGUAAAGUUUUUACUCAUGUGAAUUGGCUUGAUUUGGAUGCACAAUGAUGCCUAACUUUUUAACAUUUUAUUAAAUUUGGUAUCAUAUUUAACACCUAUGUAGACAAGUCAUAACCUUAAUGUAGAGGUGCUGUAAUAUUUUUGGUACUUAAUGCCGCUCAAGUGCUAAAGUCUUCACUCAUGUGAAUUUUUUUGGUUGAGAUGGACGUCUCUAACAUUUUAACAUUUAAUUAAAAUCAGAAUCAUAUUUAACACUCAUGUAAAAAAGUCAUAACCUUGACACAUAGUAAUAUGCAAUGUUUUAACAUUUAAUAUGACUUAAGUGCUAAAGUUUUCACUCAUGUGAAUUGGCUUGGCUUGGAUGCAUAAUGGUGUCUAACAUUUUAACACUGAAAUUAAAAUUAGAGUUAUAUUUAAUAAUCAUGUAGACAAGUCAUAACCUUGACGAGAAGCAAUAUUGUCAUUUUGACACUUAAUAUUGCUUAAAUGCUAAAGGCUUCACUCAUGCAUAUUGACUUAGCUUGGAUGAACAAUGGUAGCUAACUUUUUAACACUUCAUUAAAUUUGGAUUAUGGUUAACAUCCAUGUAGAAGAGUGAUAAACUUGAUGCAAAGUGAUGUUAUAUUUUUGGUACUUAAUAUAGCUUAAAUACGAAAAUCUUCACUUCUAAUAAUUAACUUGGCUUGGAUGCAUAGUGGUGUCCUACUUUUUAACUCUUAAUUGAAAGUGAAAUCAUAUUUAACAUCCAUUUUAUGCUAGUCAUAAACUUGAUAUAGAGCAAUGUGCAACUUUUUAACAUUUAAUGCAACUUAGGUGCUAAAGUCUUUACUCAUAUGAAUUAACUAAACUUAGAUGCAUAUUCGUUUCCAACUUUUUUAAUACCUAAUUAAAAUUAAAACCAUAUUUAAAAACCAUGUAGACAAAGGCAUAAUCUUAACAUGGAGCAGUGUAUAACUUUUAGCACUUAAUUAAAAUUGGGAUUAUACUUCACAACCACAUAUUCCUCCUCCUAUUUUUCAAUUUUUUCUUGUGGUGAUGAUUGAACUCAACUAGUUUGUCCAAGUUACCUGCAUACCUUAACAGAGAGGGGAUCAAGUCAAACUUAGUUCAAAGUAUUUUUUUAAUAUCUAACUUUUGCCAAGGCUAAUGAUUUUAAUCUUGAAAGCUUGUCUUAACUUUUGACUAUAUAUGUAGUGUUUUCAAGUUUCAAUUUAGCGACCUAUGAAUUGUACAAAUUGAAAAUGACUUCACUCAUGUGUAAAAAUAAAAGAUAUUCAUUCAUAGUUUUAGGGCAACGAAAAGUAAUCGACCCUUUUUUGCAUUAUUAUUAUUAUUGUUGUUGUUAUUAUUAUAAUUAUUAUAUUACCUUAAAAAAAAGACCUUCUCCAAAAAAUUUAAUCUACAAGUACUUGGAUUCUAUUUGAAUAUAAAAAGAGCCACUCAUAUGCAUGAAUUAAAUAUAUGUCCCAUGGAUAAGUUGUACUUAGCCACGGCUGAAGCUUUCCAUUAUGACUUGAAGGGAAAAAAAAAGAGAGGAGAAUAAUGUCAUUAAAAAACUGAUUGCCAUGUGCCUAUGCCUGCCAGUAGAUGGCUGAAAACUAGUUCUAUUCUUUUGUUUUUGCCUCUACUAAUGAACCAUAAUUGAGAGAUUCAUUGGCAACUAUCGUAUAAACAAUGGUUCAUAAAUUACUUUUAAAUUUUGAUAGCAAAGACUCAAAAUGUAAAACCAUAAAAAAUUUGUUCUAUUCCCAAAUUUUUUUAAAUAAUAAAUUAAUGCACAUGACUGUUUUCACAUCUUAUUCUCAUUUCUAUCAAUGCAAUAAUUGUAAUCAUCUUAUCUAUUAACAUGGCCUAGAGCCAUAGAGCUUCCUUUUCUUUAGUCCUAGAGCCAUUUCAGCUAAGAGUAGUCUUUCCUUAGCAUUUCCGGUCCAAAGCUUCCAUUUCUUUAGGCCUAGAGGCAUUUUCAGUCCAGAGCUGCUGUUUCUUUCGGCCUACAACCAUUUUCAGCCUGAAGCUGCCUUUCUUUAGCAUUUUCAGCCCAGAGCUACCUUUCCUUGGCAUAUCAGCCCAAAGCUUCUAUUUCUUUAGGCCUGGAGCCAUUUCAACAUACAACAUUGGUUUCUUUGGCCGGGCCUUGAGCCCUUUUCAACCCAGAACUGUCAUUUCUUCUAAAUAACUUCUCUUUUAAAAAACUUCAAUUUGUCUUUCCAAUAAAAAAAUUUAAGGCUUUGUUCUAGGUUUCAAGAAGCUGGCAUAGAAAAAAAAAAGGAAAAAAAAAAUUCUUGAUGGCAUAAAGUAGGACAUGGCCGGGAUAGUUUGAAAUACAUAAUUUUCCCCAUUCAAAUGCAAAACAUAUUAAAAGAACAUUUGGCAUGAUUUUAUGAAGUGAUUCUAUCUUUUCUAAUACUUCAAAGUUAUGAAGUGAUUCUAUCUUUUCUAAUACUUCAAAGAUAAAUUUUUUUGAAGUAUUAGAAAAAUUAGAAACAUUUCUUAAAAUCACUACCCUUAACUAUAUUUAGAUACUUUAACCAUUUCAAAUGCUACAUGUUGUUUCCUUCUACAUUUCCUCUUUAUUUUGUUUUUCUCUUACAUUUUUCCUCAAAUUUUCUAAAAACCAAACAUAACCUAAAAGAAAAGAUAAUUUGACUUAUUUUGAAAGUUCUUUAUAUAUAUAGUUUAUAUGGAAAAUUGUUUCAUGUUAAUUUAAUAAAGCAUUUAUAAUAUUGAGAUCGCUCUUUCAUAAUCAUAAAUUAACCUUUAGUUUCAACUUCUACAAGAGGCUAAAUGAAAAAAGCUAUCACAGAGGAGGCCUCAGCCAAUGAGUAAGAUGCACUGUUGUACCAAACAAUAGGUGGAAAAUACAAUUUUAUUAAGACUCUGAGACAAAAAAAAAAAAAAAAAGGAUGAUUUUACACUCAAAACAAGGAUUUAUUUAUAAUGAAGUGCAGUCUCCAUAUGCACAUGUGACUGCAUUUACAGCAUAAAGAAAGACAAGGAAAUUAACAAAUGUUGGACUCAUUGGAAAAUCAUACAAAUUAUUGAAGGAGGACCUUAGCUAAGCUAACUGUCUCCUAAAUUGCCCAUCUUUUAUAUAUAUUUGCAUUCAUCCGUCUCAUCAUCGUCUUUGAUUUUAGAUGGUGAGGAUGUGAAAGUAACAGGAAGCAGUGGACGAUUGUUCACUGUGAGGCUUAGCACAUCAGCUCUCGAAUAAUGUCCUACCACAUCGAACUGGAACUUUGCUUUAGGAAUCUCUCCACGAACAUCUGCAUAUCAAGUGAUCAUCAAAAUAUUUGAUCAGCCCUUUUAAAUAUCAGAGAGUAUCAAGUCUUCCAUAAAACCGUGUUUGCAGUCCUUUUAAACCUAAAGAAUUCACUCAUUUGCCUUAUCUGCAUACUGAAAUAUUUGGAUAUACAAUUGGAGAAGUUAGGGCCAUACCAAGAUCAGCUGUGAAGAGGCCUUCUCCUUCAUAAUUCGGUCCUGCUAGAAUUUCGCCAUGGGGCGAAAUGAUGACACUACCUCCUGCCCAAACAAUGGAAUCUGGAGUGACAUCUUCUUCUGUAGGACUGUAAAGAUACUCAGGUGGAGGUGGGUAAUCUUUCCUCCGACAGAACUGGAUGGGUGAAAGAACAUAGCAUCCACCCUCAAUAGCAACGUGUCUCAUUGUAGCUACCCAUGUAUCCCCGGAAUCGGCAGUAGGAGCACAAUAUAUCUCAAUACCUAUAGAGAUGUACAUUCGUAUUUUGUGAUCAAUCAAUCCCAUAUCAAAGCCAUAAUGUAUUUCAAGCCUAUUUAUAGGCUAAAACCCUAACAACUUAAAAAAGAGUACUGAAGUAUUUCAAGCCAAACCAUAUUAGUUAGUGAAGAAAAAGACAUACCUUUGCCAUACAUUGCUGUCCUUAGAAGCGGCAUUCUAUUUUCCCAACAAAUGACCGAACCAAGUUUUCCAUAUGGAGUGUCAUAAACUGGAGUUGUCGAGCAAUCUCCGAAACCCCAGACGAGCCGCUCCCAAUAUGUUGGCAUGAGUUUCCUAUGUUUUCCAAGGUAAUUACCUUUAGGAUCAAAGAAGAGAACAGUGCAAUACAAUGUGUAUCCCUCUCUCUCAAUAACACCUGUCACUAAGUAGACUCUGUAUUUCGCAGCCAUUGAUGCCAAUCUAUCAACUUCAGGUCCUGAAAAUACAUUAAUUUGAGAUUAAAGAUGAAACAUGUCAGCUGAAGGUUCAUCACAAAGCAGCAUAAGUAGAUUUUGUUUCAACAACUUAUUAAGUGGCUCAGUUCUUUAGCUAUUUAAGGGAGAAAAAGAGAGGUAAUUGACCCGGAACAUUAAUGGCAGAAGCAUGGUACUUGCGGAAACUUUCUUUCCCUCUUGGCGACCGGUCAGCGAAGUUAUAUCCUCGGGGAUACCCACCGAUAAAUGCUUCAGGAAACACAACCAGUUGGGAUCCCAGUGCAGCUGCUUCUUUCAAAAACCUCUCAGCCUUAUCUGCUCUCAAAAUCACAUUGCAAGAAGUAAAUUAAUUGGUUGAAUGGAGAGAAUGAAAAUUAACUUUUAAGAGAUCCCGAAUGACUUUUUGGUUGCUGAGAAAACUCAAGGAAAAACAGACCUAGAUGAAACUUGAAACUCUCAUAUUUUCAGCUGUUUUGUAACUAAGAAAAGAGAAACCACCUCAACUCAACUCAUCAAAAUAAUUGUAAAAGCAGUAAUUCCUUGAUUGGCAGCUGAAAAUAUGAUCAGGGUUCAAUCAUCCUUUUCUUUUUUUCAGUCUCUGAGAAACCAAUUAGAUCACAUAUUCCAUUACACAAGUUGCACAAUUGAAAGAAAUGGUACGUUACCUAGAGUGGCAGGAGUAUCAUAAAAGAUACUAGAAGCUUGAACAACGGUGGCUCUAACAGUUGAAGACAUUGCAGAAAAUUGUAUGUUUUUUCGUUUCCCCUUUGUUUGAGGAUUCCUCACACUGCGUUCAGUAUAUAUAUUGCCCAUGACAUUGUGGACCAGCCACUUGACUUAUACAAAUUGAAAAUGACUGAGUCAUCUGUGAAAAGCAAUUUAAGAUAACAUUCAAAAUUAAUAAGCUUUAAUUUUUAUUUAUAUAUAUAUAUACAUAAUCUACAAGUUGUUAUCAUUAUAUUUGAAUAAAAAGAGGGACCCGCCCACAUGCAUGGAUUCCAUCCAUCUAGCACACAGAUAAAUUGUCUUUAGUGGCGGCUGAGGCUUUCUAUGACUUAUACCAUAUAUCUAUACACCCCAGUAUAUAGCUAAAAACUGGGUAAUGUAUUGGCCCCUACCUAAAAUUAUUGAUUGAUUCAAUGACAGCUAUCUGAGAAAAAUAAAAAAGGGAGAACUAUUCUUACGCUUGCCUUGAUUUAAGCAAAUAUACUUUUAAUUAGGAAUUCUAAUUUUCAUAUUUUACCCCAAACAGAUAAUCAAUAAAAUUAUUCUCCAAAUAUGUAUUUUAAUAGCAACAAAAAUGAGAAUUCCAUAAUUAUCCCUUUUAAAAUCUUUAAUAUGACAAGUCGUAAUUUAAUGUGUUUGGUAGCUCUCCUUUUUCUUUUUUUCUCCUCUACAUCACUUUCUCCAUAUAAUGUCUUUGAUAUCCUCUCCAUAUCAUGUUGUUGAUAUCCUACCUUUGACAUUUUUUUUUAUCUAUGUGUUGAAGUGACUACACUUUUAGAUUUCUUUUCACUCUUUUAAUAUUUUCAUAUAUAUUUAUUAACUUUAAUAAAUUUUUGAAAACAUUAAACAUAAAAUUAUAAUAUAUGAUAAAUAAUUAAUGAUAACAAAUUAAAUAUAAAUAUAAGUAUGAAAUGGACAAAAAAUAAAAAAUUUAUCCUACAAAUAAUAGACUAUAUAGUUUAAAAUAUUAGUUAUAAUAAUAUAUUUGAUACUUUAGAGUUUAGAUUAAAAAAUUAUGUUUUAUUUUUUAGAGGUUAGCAUAUAAUAUUUCCAUUAAACAAAGAUUUUUUUAUAUGAAUCCUAAAUAAAAUGUUUAUUUAUUUUGCAAAUUCUUAUCAUAUGCGAUAUAUAUAUAUAUAUAUAUCAUGUUAUUUAUAAUUUUUAUUAUUUUGUGUCAAAAUCACAGUCAAUGAUGAUAAUUUUAGUUAGUAUAGAGCUCUUAAAAGGAUGAUAUGAUGUAACAAAUAUGAAGUUAUUAAUUAUUUACUGAUAUUCUGGUUUUACUUUUAUUAAUCCUUAUUCCAUACAUUAUAUUUUAUGAGCAUCCUAGUUUGACAUUUCUUAUACUAUACAUGGCUUAGGUGCAUUAGAAGUUGCACGGAAGAUCCAAGUUAUAGAUUCCUUUUUUAAUUCAAUAUUUUAAAAAAAAAAUUAUACUUUCAGUCAAUGUCUCAUAUUUCAAACACGUACACACUCUAGAAUUUCUCGAAUUGUAGUCUAGAAUGUCAACUUAGUGUUUGAUGAAAAAAGGUAUAAACAAAUAUAUGAAAAAAGUAAUCAACAAGCAUAGGAUUCUAUUUGAAUAAAAAAGAGCCACUUACAUGCAUUGAUAAAGGAAACUCCAACUCAGCUAGCAUACAAUCCAUGCCAAAGCAGAAUCUUUACGUAAGAAGUUGAUAAUGCAAUUUGCCAGGAAGGAAAACUACUCUCCAUAUUUGUAAUGUGGAAAAUCAAGGUUGGAAGGAAAUUUUCACUUACUUAUUCUGUAUAAUAUUCCCUUUUUUUUUUUUUUUUGUAAAGAAAGUAUGUAUUGUUUAUUUAUUUUUUAGAAAACAAUUAGUAAAGUGUGGUGCGAAUUCAACCUUUCAAAAAUAGUUUCUAUUCUUCAUGGUAUCGGAGCUAGUUAAUCUAAAACAAUCCAAAGCUUCCAUGGAAACCCCAGAAAAUGUUCUUAGCAUUCAGGCUUUUCAUCAAUGCUCGAGCCUCAUCUCCAUCAAACUGAAUAUGUCCAAUCUCCUUUUGUGGCACUCACAAGUUCUUCCUCUUGUGCGAAGCCUUGGAUUAGUCCAUCAUCUCUCUGAAAAUAGACACGCAUAAGAGGGGAUAAUGGAUAGUGAAACAAAGGAGACCUAUGAUUAGUCAAUAGAGACAUGGUCUCACAAUGAUGAUCUACUUACCUCCUGGCUUCUUGGACCCAUGACAGAAGAAGUGAUUCUUUUAUUGGAUGGAACAGAGAUUGCCUAUGAUGUUUGGAACUCUCUGGAAGAAAAACUCCUUCCAAUGACCAAAGAGAAGGAUAUGCAAUUGACCAAUAGACUCCGAGGGCUGAAGAAAGGCACAAGGUCCCUUGAUGAAUAUCUAAGGGAGUUCAAAGAAAUUUUUGAUGCAUUAGCUACAGUUAGAAAACCAGUAAGUGACCUAGACAAAGUUUUUCAACUAGCUCAAGGUCUCAUAACUAAAUACAUGGAUUUUCGGGUGGCCAUGUUAUCAAAGCCACCAUAUCCCUCUUACAAUCAAUUUGUUCUGGCUCUACAAGGGCAUGAACAAAUGAUUAUGAUAGAAAAUGAAGAGAACAAAGAGUCAAUAAACCAUGAACAAGCCUAUUUUACCCAAUGAGGAAGACGAAGAAAUCAAGGAGGAAGAUUUCUUUCUAGAGGUCAUGACUUCAUUCUAGCAAGACGAUUCAAUCACAAUGCUACCAAUGACCAAAGGCAGAAUGUUCAUCCCAACACCAGAAAUCCAAGAAAUAGCUUCAACAACCAGCUUCCACCAGAACAAAAACUCCAAAAAUCUAAAGGUACUCUUAUUUACCAAAUUUUUAAUAAAGCUAACCAUUCAGCUUUGGAUUGCUAGAACAGAUUCAACUAUUUGUAUCAAUCAGAAGAGAUUCCUCAAGCUUUGGCUGCUAUGGCUCUAAAUGAAGAAGAUAAGGAUCCUAAUUUUUAUGUGGACUCGAGAGCAAAAACCCAUAUAACAAAUGACCUAGGUAAGAUUACCCAAGUAAUUCCAUAUAAAGGGCAUGAUGCAAUUUUUGUUGGAAAUAGAGAAGCUGUAAGAAUCUCACAAAUUGGUGAAGCUAGACUAAAAACUAAACAUAUAGAUCUAAAGCUUAAAAAAUUAUUGGUUAUUCCAAAAAUUAAGAAAAAAUUGUUAUCCAUUGGACAACGUACCUCUGAUAACCCAUGCUCCAUAGAAUUCUCAUCAACUAGUUUUGUCAUUAAGGAUCAACUUCAACAAGUGCUAGCUAGAGGAACUAAGAAGAGAGGUCUCUAUGCAUUGGAGGAAAAUGUGAUUCAAGCCAUGAUAGUUACUAGGUCUAGCAAGGCACCAUAAGAAGUGUGGCAUCAACGCAUGGGGAAUCUGCAAACAAAAUCUAUAAAGCUUCUACAAGAUAAGAAUUUCAUUGAAGUAUCUAGUUGGAUGAAAUCAACAAUAGUUUGUGUUAGUUUUCAAUUAGGAAAAAGUUGUAAAGUUUCUUUUGGCUUAAAAAAUAAAAUUUCCAGCAAUCUUCUUGAAAAAAUUCAUUGUGACUUAUGGGGACUUGCACCAAAUAAUUCAACUCAAGGAUACAAGUAUUAUGUUGUCUUUAUUGAUGAUCAUACUCACUAUACAUGGCUUUAUCCCUUGAGAAGAAAAUCAAAUUUCUAUGAAUGUUUUUUGAAGUUUCAAAAUCUGGUUGAGAAUCAACUUGAAAGAUAGAUAAAAAUCUUCCAAAGUGAUGGUGGAGGUGAGUUUCAAUCAAUUAAAUUUCAAAAUCACCUAAGCAAGUGUGGAAUUUUGCAACGAGUCUCAUGCCCAUGAACUCCAGAACAAAAUGGGGUUGUAGAGAGAAAGCAUAAACACAUUGUUGAAAUGGGUUUAACAAUGCUUUUCAAUGCCAAAUUACCAUUGAGUCUAUGGGUAGAUGCAUUCCAUACUGUCGUAUACCUUAUUAAUCGACUGCCUUCCAUGGUGUUGAAAAUGUAGAGUCCAUUCUUUAUGUUUUUCAAACAAUAUCCAGAAUAUAGGAGCUUGAGAAUUUUUUGUUGUCGAUGUUUUCCAUACCUUUGAGACUACGGGAAGAAUAAAUUCUCACCUAAGAUAUCUCCAUGUGUUUUUAUUGGAUAUAGCUCUCUACACAAGGGUUAUAGAUGCUUGCAUCCUUCAACUAAAAGAGUUUACAUAUCUCAUCAUGUCAUCUUCAAUGAAAAUUGCUUUCCUUAUGCUAACUCUCUUGUUAAGAAAAAUCAUUUACAGAUUCCUAUAGAAAUGGUAUCAUUCUCAACUUCAGAUGUUUUUUGUGAGACUUAAAAAAUGGAUCACCAAACUAAGUCUUGGAAGGAGAACACUGCUAACCAAUCAAGCAACUCCAAGAAGUUCAACCAUUGGUCAUGCACUACUAGGUAAAGAAACUGGUUUAGUGUUGACGGAAGAAUUUCUACUAGUUGUAUUACUAACCAAAAUACAAAAGCAUCAUGUGUUAAUCCGACUGGAACUCCCACUACUAUUACUGUUGAAAUUUCCACUAUUGUUACUAGUAAAAAUGACCAUAAUACCGUCAUUACUACUGAAACUCCCACUGAUGUUGCUCUUGGUUCUAGUGGCCACAAUUUCAACACUGCAACUACUAUUGGAACACUCUCCUAGAUUGAGUCUACUAGUAGCUACAAGCCUGCCAAUGUUAGUAAUUUUCCUUAUAUCAGUAAGCACCUAGUAGUUGAUCUCUCUUUCCCUUAAAAAUGGCAGAAAAAUGAGCAUGUUGGUUCAUCUCCGCAAAACAAAUCCACCAGUCACAGUGUUGAUGAUGAAGUUCCUGAUAUUAGCAAGCAAAUUGUUGUUGACAUCUCUUCUCCUCAGGGCUAACACAUAGAUAACAAAGAAACUCAUAUGAUCACCAGAAGUAAACUCAAGAAUGAUCCCAGUUUAAAGUCUCAAAUGGUUACUUUUGUUGCCAUAAGAAGUAAUAUUAGUGAGCCAAAAACAUAUUGUACAACAUUGAAAAUUCCCUAUUGGUUCAAACAAUGCAAGAGGAAAUUAAGGAUUUAAUCCAAAAUCGAACAUGGGAUUUGGUUCCUAGGCCUCCAACUGCAAAUAUUGUGGGUUCUAAAUGGGUGUUUAAAACAAAGCUAAAGGAAGAUGGAACCAUAGAUAGAUACAAAGCACAAUUAGUUGCUAGAGAUUUUUCUCAAAUACCGGGUUUGGACUUUGGAGAGACCUUCAGCCUAGUUAUAAAGCAUACUAUAAUCAGAUUGAUCCUUUCAUUAUCAGUAACCUUGGGGUGGACAAUGAGGCAAUCAGAUGUUAAGAAUGCCUUCAUACAUGGGUUUCUAAAGGAAAAAGUACUCAUGGAACAACCUCCAGGAUUUAUAAACAAGGACUUUCUGAAUCAUGUCUACAAAUUGAAUUGUUCUCUUUAUAGCCUUAAGCAAGCUCCAAGGGCCUAGUUAAAUAAACUAUUUCAAUGUCUUCUUCAUCUGGGGUUUUACUGUGGUAAAAUAGACUCGUCUUUAUUUAUUCUUCGCAAAGGUCAGUCUAUUGUUUUGCUACUUAUCUAUGUUGAUGAUAUUAUAGUCACAGGCAAUGAUAACAACAUCAUUAGUGACCUCAUCAGCACCCUGAGUAGUGAAUUUUCUCUCAAGGACUUAGGAUUUUUGCAUUAUUUUUUGGGAUUGGAGGUUAAAUAUCUUCUUAAUGGGUUGUUUCUUUCUCAAACAAAGUACACUAGAGAUCUCCUAGAGCACACAAAAAUGAUGGAGUGUACUCAUAUCAACACAUCCAUGGCUCUUAAGUCCAUCAUCACACCUUCUGAUGAACAACCUAUUGAUCCUACAUGAUAUAGGUAACUUGUUGGAUUCCCCUAAUAUUUAACCUUCACAAGGCUUGAUUUUGUGCAUGCAGUAAACAAGGCCUACCAACAUUUCCAAGCACCCACUAAAGUUGACUUGCAAGCUGUCAAACGCAUCCUUAGAUAUUUGAAGGAAACAAUGGAGCAUGGAAUCAGGUUUUUCAAGCAAAGUUCGCUUCGUCUCACUGGUUUUUGUGAUGCUGAUUGGGCAGGAUGCACAAACACAAGAAGAAGCACAUCUAGGUAUUAUAUUUUUCUAGGAGCCAAUUGUAUCUCAUGGUCCUCAAAGCGACAACCUACAAUUUCUAGAUCAAGCACCGAGGCCAAAUAUCGAUCCCUUGCGUCCAGUGCUGCAGAAAUAACUCGGCUUACUUUCCUUCUCCAUGAUAUUGGCAUUCAACUAUGUGAACCUUCUCAAUUUCUAUGCGAUAACCUCAGUGCCCUUCACAUGACAGUACAUCUCGUCUUCCAUGCAUGGUCCAAGCAUAUUGAGUUGGACUAUCAUUUUAUUCGGAAAAAAAGUUGCAAGUGGAGUUUUGAUUACUUGUUUCCUUCCAUCGUCCUUACAAGUAGCUGAUAUAUUCACAAAGACACUCCCUAAGACUUCAUUCCAAGUCUUUCGAUUCAAGCUAGGAGUGCACAAGUUACCACUCACUAGCUUGCAGGGGGCUAAUAAAGGAAAGUCAAACUCAACUAGCAUACAAUCCAUGCCAAAGCAAUCUUUACGUGAGAAGUUAGUAAUGCAAUCUGCUAGGUAGGAAAACUACUCUCAAUAUUUGUAAUGUGGAAAAUCAAGGCUGGAAGGAAAUCUUCACUUACCUGUUCUGUAUAAUAUUCCCUUUUCUAUGCAAAUAAAGUAUGUAUUGUUUAUUUAUUUUUUAGAAAAAAUCAGUAAAGCGUGGUACAAAUUCAAUCUUUCAAAAAUAGUUUAUGUUCUUCAUGCAUGGAUAAUAAAUCCCAUGGAUAAAUUGUAUUUAGCAGCGGCUGAAGCUUUCUAUAUGACUAAAGAGAAAAAAAGUCAUUAAAAAACUAAUUGCCAUGUGACUACGUCUACCAGUAGAUAGUUGAGAACAAGGUCUAACUCUUAACCUUUUGUACUACCUUUACAAAGGAACACAAAAUUGAGAGAUUCAAAGGCAACUAUAGUAUAAAUAUUGUUUCAUAAAUUACUUUUCAAAUUUAAUUUGAUAACAAAAAUUUAGAAUACAAAAGUAUGAAAAAUUUGUUCCAUUCCCAAAAUUUUUGCAAAUAAAAUUUUAAAGUAAUAAAUUAACACCAUGACUCUUUUCACAUCUUAUUCUCCUUUCUAUCAAAGAAAUGAUAGUAAUAAUCUUAUCUAUAAAUUUUAAAUGAGGCAAGAUCAUUGAAUUUUUAUUUUCUUUUAUUUUCUUGUUAUGUAAUUAUCAAACACAUUUUUUUUUUAAGACAAAAAAAAAUUAGACUGAAGAAAUAUAUUUUUGCCCUGAUUUAGUCACUUGGAUUGCAAUUCGAAGGAUGGAAAUAAAAGUGUAUUCUUGGAGUUAAAGAUCAAUUGAAAGCUUAAAGCGGCUUGUUCUCGAAUGAAUUUAAUGAAUGACGAAGAAUACAUGUGUUGUAAUUUUUUGGAUUUGUAGGGGAAUUUUAUGAAGCUCUUUUCUCUUUGUCAGGCUUCUUUUUUUGUAUGAUUUUUUUUCUUCAUCAUUUUCAUUCAAGGAAGUCGCAUAUAUUUAGAGAUGAAAUUAAAAAAUUAAAUUUAGAAUUCCUAAGAUUUGAUUACUUAAUUAAAAAAAAUUGGUUUCUUGAUUUUAGCAACUUGUCUCCUCUAUUAAGGAAGUUUGCUAAUAAGAGAAUAUUUAAUUAUCAUUUUCUUUUGACUUCAAUUAGAAGAUUUGAUUCGUUUGUUCAUAAAAUUUGAAAACAAAAAAAAAAAUUAUUUCUAUUUUUUUAUUUCAAUUGUUUAAUUUAAUUUGAUUUUGGAAGACUUUAUUUUAUAGUUUUCCAAAUUUUGUUACAUGUCAUUUUUUGAAUUGCAUGUUACAUAUUCAAUAUACAUGACCCAUCACUUAUUAAGCAUAAAUUUCGUUGAGCUAAGGAGUUACAAUUUUGAAGACUAAUUUGAUAGUAUUUUAAUCCACUAAAAUUUUUUAUGUCUACAAAUGCCCCGUCUUCAAGACAAACACACACAUGCAUUGUCAUGUAUAAAAGAUGAGUCUUGAAGUUAGCAUUUUGAAUCUUUAAUAUCCUUCUUUGAUAUUUUUUUUUUCAAAGAAAUAUUUUAAUAGGAAAUUUCCUAUUUCAAAAUACCUUUCUUCAACUUUUUCCAAAAACGACUUUAUUUUCUUCCUUUUUUUCUACCUGGUAUCAAGGAAAGACUUUGUGUUAAUGGGAAAGUUUCUUAUUUGAACAUAUAUUUGCUUUUCUCAUGGUAUUUUCACUUCCAAUUUAUCAUCCUACAAGAAGUCCUUCACCCUUGGUCGAUUGUAUCUUAGACUUGAUCACAUGCCUUUAACUUGUAAUUCUUGCUCCACUUUAUUUAUUUUAUUUUAUUUUAUUUUAUUUUUAAAAAAGAAUACAAUGUAUAUGAGCAAGACCUUGAGCAAGAGGAGCAAGGUGGAGGGUGGAGCAUGAGCUAGCCUUAGGGUAAGACCUUGAGCAAGAGAAGUAAUGUGGAGUGUAGAUCACAAACUUCUCUGGAGCAUGGUAGGCAUACCGUCACAGAAUUGUCUUCCACAUGGAGCAUGGUAGGGUUUAUACAUAUGAUAGGGUGUGCCAUCAUGUAACAAUGAAGAACAACAAUCCAUGGUGUACAAUUGGGAACAACAAUUCAUGCUAUCAAGCUUCAACAUUUUUUUUUACCCCCAUCUCCAUUUUUUCAACUUCUUUUUUUUUUUUUUGUCCUUUUUUUUUCCCUUUUUUUAAGCAUUGUUUUUAAGGAAGAAAUAGGUUUGCCAUCCCUUACUAUGAGGUCAAUAUCCAUCACUUGCAAAGACAAAUUUGCUUUUUGAUAUUUUUUCUUCUUCAAUAAUUAACUUAACAUUUUAAUAUAUAUAUAUAUAUUUUAACAAACUUGAAUAUUCAUAAUAAAAUAAAUAUUUAAUGUCUUUACUCAUCCAAAUUAGCUUGACUUGAAUACUUAGUAGAUCCAUACUUAACACCCAUGUAGACGAGCUGUAACCUUGAUGGCAGGUUGUGUUGUAUUUUCGACACUUAAUGUGCCUUAAGAGUUAAAGUCUUCUCUCAUACAAAUUAGCUUGGUUUGGAUGCACAAUGGUGUGUAACUUUUUAACACUUUAUUAAACUUGGAACCAUAUUUAACACCCACGUAGACAAGUCAUAAUCAUGACAUGGAUCACUGUUUUAUUUUUAGCUCUUAAUGUGGCUUAAAUAUUAAAUUCUUCACUCAUACAAAUUAAAUUGGGUUAGAUGCACAAUGGUGUUCAACUUGUUAACAGUUAAUUAAAAUUAGAACCAUAUUUAACACCCAUACAAACAAGUCAUAACUUUGACGUGGAGCAGUGUUGUAUCUUUGGCUUAAUGCCGCUUAAGUGUUAAAGUCUUCACUCAUAUGAAUUAGCUUCACUUAGAUGCAUAGUUGUAUUAUACUUUUUAACACUUAAUUUAAAUUUGGACCAUAUUGAAAACCCAUGUGAACAAGACAUAACCUUGUAGUGGUGUUAUAUUUUUGACACUUAAUGUAGCUUAAAUGCUAAAGUCUUCACUUCUAUGAAUUGGUUCACCUUGGAUGAAUAGUGAUGUCUAAAUUGUAAUAAUUAAAAUUGAAACCAUAUUUAACACUCAUGUAGAUAAUCAUAACUUUGACGUAAUGGCAUUGUAUUUUUGACACUUAAUGCAGCUUAGGUGCUAAAGUUUUCACUCAUGAGAAUUGGUAUGAGUUAGAUGCAUUGUGGUGUCCAACUUUUUAACACUCAAUUAAAAUUGGAACCAUAUUUAACACCAAUGUAGAUAAGUCAUAACCUUGACGUGAAGCGAUAUUGUAUUUUUGACACUAAAUGCAACUUAGGUGCUAAAGUCUUCACCCACGCAAAUUGGUUCAUCUUGGAUGCACAAUGGUGUCGAAUUUUUUUAACAUAUAAUUAAAAUUUGAACCAUAUUUGACACUCAUGUAGACAAGUCAUAACCAUGAUGUAGAGUAGUGUUGUAUUUUUAACACUUAAUAUGACUUUACUGGUAAAUUCUUUACUCAUGUGAAUUGCCUUGAUUUGGAUGCACAACUAACUUUUUAACAUUUUAUUAAAUUGGGUAUCAUAUGUGUUGUUUUUUUAACACUUAAUACGACUUUAGUGGUAAAUUCUUUACUCAUGUGAAUUGUCUUGAUUUGGAUGCACAAUGAUGCCUAACUUUUUAACAUUUUAUUAAAUUGGUAUCAUAUUUAACACCAAUGUAGACAAGUCAUAACUUUAAUGUAGAUGCGGUGUAGUAUUUUUGGCACUUAAUAUUGUUUAAGUGCUAAAGUCUUCACUCAUGUGAAUUUUCUUGGUUGAGAUGCACAAUGGUGUGUAACAUUUUAACAUUUAAUUAAAAUUGGAACCAUAUUUAACACUCGUGUAGAGAAGUCAUAACCUUGACAUGGAGUAAUAUGCAAUUUUUUUAUAUUUAAUAUGACUUAAGUGCUAAAGUUUUCACUCAUGCGAAUUGACUUGACUUGGAUGCAUAGUGAUGUCUAACAUUUUAACACUUAAUUAAAAUUAGAGCUAUAUUUAAUAAUCAUGUGGACAAGAAAUAACUUUGACGUGAAACAAUAUUGUAAUUUUGACACUUAAUGUUGCUUAAAUGCCAAAGUCUUCACUCAUACAUAUUGACUUAGCUUGGAUGAAAAGUGGUAUCCAACUUUUUGACACUUUCUUAAAUUUGGAAUUAUGUUUAACAUCAAUAUAGACAAGUAAUAACCUUGACGCAGAGUGAUGUUAUAUUUUUAGCACUUAAUAUAGCUUAAGUGCUAAAAUAUCCACUUCUAAGAAUUGACUUGGCUUGGAUGCAUAAUGGUGUCCUACUUUUUAACACUUAAUUGAAAGUGAAAUCAUAUUUAACACCCAUUGUAUGCUAGUCGUAAACUUGAUAUAGAGCAUUGUGCAACUUUUUAACACUUAAUGCGACUUAAAGUGCUAAAGCCUUUACUCAUAUGAAUUAAUUGAACUUAGAUGCACAUUUGUUUCCAACUUUUUAAUACAUAAUUAAAAUUAAAACCAUAUUUAAAAACCAUGUAGACAAAGACAUAAUCUUAACAUGGAGCUAUGUAUAACUCUUAACACUUAAUUAAAAUUGAGAUUACACUUAACAACCACAUAUUCCUCCUAUUUUUCAAUUUUUUCUUGUGGUGAUGAUUGAACUUAACUAGUUUGUCCAAGUUGCCUAUAUACCCUUAACAGAGAGGGAAUCAAGUCAAACUUAGUUCAAAGUAUUUCUUUUAAUCUCUAACUUUUGCCAAGGCUAAUGAUUUUAAUCUUACAAGCUUGUCUUAACUUUUGACCAUAUAUGUAGUCUUUUUAGGUUUCAAUUUAACGGCCUAUAUAUGACUUGUACAAAUUGAAAAUGACUUCAAUCAUGUGUAAAAAAUAAUAAAAGAUAUUCAUUCCUAGUUUUAGGGCAACGAAAAAUAGUUGAUCCUUUUUUAUAUUAUUAUUAUUGUUGUUGUUAUUAUAAUUAUUAUUUCACCUUACAAAAAGACCUUCUGCAAUUAAUAUUUUAUACAUAUAUAUAUAUAUAUAUUUUAUCUUUUAUAUAUUUAGUUUUCAUAGUAUUUUUUAAUUCAAUAUAUAUAUUUUUUAAAUAUCUAUACUUUCGGUCAAUGUCUCAAAUUUAAAGCACGUGCAUGCUCUAGAAAUUCUCAAGUUGUAGGCUUGUGGCCUACAAUGUCAACUUAGAGUUUGAUGAAAAAGCGCAUAAACAAAGACAAAAAAAUUAAUCUACAAGUACUUGGAUUCUAUUUGAAUAAAAAAGAGCCACCCACAUGCAUGGAAUAAAUAUAUAUCCCAUGGAUUAGUUGUAUUUAGCCACGGCUGAAGCUUUCCACUAUGACUUAAAAAAAAAAAAAAAGAGGAUAAUGCCAUUAAAAAACUGAUUGCUACGUGGGUAUGCCUGCCAGUAGAUGGCUGAAAACUAAGUUCUAUUCUUUUCAAUAGUUGAGAGAUUCAAUGGCAACUAUCGUAUAAACAAUGUUUCAUAAAUUACUUUUAAAUUUUGACAGCAAAGACUAAAAAUGUAAAACCAUAAAAAAUUUGUUCCAUUCCCAAAUUUUUAAAAAUAAAAUUGAAAAUAAUAUAUUAACGCCCAUGACUGUUUUCACAUCUUAUUCUCAUUUCUAUCAAUGCAAUCAUCGUAAGCAUCUUAUCUAGAAAUAUGGCCUAGAGCCAUAGAGCUGCCUUUUCUUUAGUCCUAGAGCCAUUUCAUGAGCUAAUAGUAGUCUUUCCUUAGCAUUUCCAGCCCAAAGCUCCCAUUUCCUUAGGCCUAGAGACGUUUUCAGCCCAGAGCCGCUGUUUCUUUCGGCCUAUAACCAUUUUCAGCCUGAAGCUGCCUUUCUCUAGCAUUUUCAGCCCAAAGCUUCCUUUCCUUGGCAUAUUAGCCCGAAGCUUCUAUUUCUUUAGGCCUGGAGCCAUUUCAACCCAGAACUGUCAUUUCUUCUAAAUAGCUUCUCUUUUAAAAGACUUCAGUUUGUCUUUCUAGUCACAAAAUUUAAGGCUUUGUUCCAGGUUUGAAGAAGCUGGUAAAAAUCUGGCUGUUGACUAAGCUCAACUAAAAAACAGUAAAGCUUGCUGACCUGGGUAAUAAAUAACAGCUAUCUUGGCAGUAUUGUUAGUUAGUUAGAGGUUUUUUUUUUACUAUUAUAAAAGGUGCAGACUUGGGAAAACUGAAAUAAGGUAUUCAAUUGUACAGAAUAGAGAGCAAGAAAAGCAGAGAGCUUUGAAAUCCAUAACCACAGGUCUGUUUCGGUUUUCCUAUAGAGAAAAGAAAGAAACAGAGGUGAGGAGGGUUCUUGGGGAAAGCCUAUAAGUUCUUUGUUUUUUAUUCUUGUGUAAAUUCUGGUUGGUACAAUUUAAUAAAGGCUUCAGGAAAUCAGUGUGAAUGUAGAUCAAGUUGAUCGAACCACGAUAAUUCUCUUGUGUUCUUGAUCUUGGUUGAUUGUCUACAAGCUGUUUGAUUUUAUUCCUAAGAGAAGUUCUUGCAAACUGGUUGUCUUUUUCUGGUUUAGUUUCUGCUCUAAUAGUCCCUAAUUCAAGACUGGCUUUUCUCAACAGCAUGGUUUGAAACACAUAAUUUUCACCAUUCAAAUGCAAAACAAUUAACUAAUUUCAAAUGCUAUGUGUUGUUUCCUUCUAAUUUCCCCUUUAUUUUUUUUUCUCUCCUAUUUUCCUUCAAAUUUUUGGAAAACCAAACAGAGCCUAAAAGAAAAGAUAAUUUUACUUAUUUUGAAAGUUGUUUCAUGUUAAUUUAAUGAAGCAUUUAUAAUAUUAAGAUCGCCCUUUCAUAAUCAUGAGGUAACCUUAGUUUCAACUUCUACAAGAGGCUAAAUGAAAAAAGCUAUCACAGAGAAGAAGGCCUCAGCCAAUGAGUGGAAAAUACAAUUUUAUUAAUACUUGAUAUCAAAAAAAAGAAAAAAAAAAAAAAGGAUGAUUUUACUUUCAAACCAAGGAUUUAUUUAUGUUGAAGUGCAGUCUCCAUAUGCACAUGUGACUGCAUUUACAGGAUAAAGAAAGACAAGGAAAUUAACAAUGUUGGACUUACUGGAAAAUCAUACAAAUUAUUGAAGGAGGACCUUAGCUAGGCUAACUGUCUCCUAAAUUGCCCAUCUUUUAUAUAUCUUUGCAAUCAUCCAUCUCAUCAUCAGCUUUGAUUUUAGAUGGUGAGGAUGUGAAAGUAACAGGAAGCAGUGGACGAUUGUUCACAGUGAGGCUUAGCACAUCAGCUCUCGAAUAAUGUCCUACCACAUCGAACUGGAACUUUGCUUUAGGAAUCUCUCCACGAACAUCUGCAUAUCAAGUGAUCAUCAAAAUAUUUGAUCAGCCCGUGAUAAAUAUCAUAGAGUAUCAAGUCUUCCAUGAAACCAUGUUUGCAGUCCUUUUAAACCUAAAGAAUUGACUCAUUUGCCUUAUCUGCAUACUGAAAUAUUUGGAUAUACAAUUGGAGAAGUUAGGGCCAUACCAAGAUCAGCUGUGAAGAGGCCUUCUCCUUCAUAAUUUGGUCCUGCUAGAAUUUCGCCAUGGGGCGAAAUGAUGACACUACCUCCAGCCCAAACAAUAGAAUCUGGAGUGACAUCUUCUUCUGUAGGACUGUAAAGAUACUCAGGUGGAGGUGGGUAAUCUUUCCUCCGACAGAACUGGAUGGGUGAAAGAACAUAGCAUCCACCCUCAAUAGCGAUGUGUCUCAUUGUGGCUACCCAUUUAUCCCCGGAAUCGGCAGUAGGAGCACAAUAUAUCUCAAUACCUAUAUAUAUGAACAUUGGUAUUCUGUGAUCAAUCAAUCCCAUAUCAAAGCCACAAUGUAUUUCAAGACUGCUUAGAUUAAAACCCUAAUAAUGUAAAAGGGUGCUGGAGGUCCUAUUUGGUAAUUGUCUUCGGAACAGUUUUGAGAAAUAGUUUUUGAAAGUUGUUCUUUAAUAGUUUAUAAAACAUAAGAAUAUUUGAAACCUAAAAUAUAUUCAACUUAUUAAAAAUAAUUUUUAUAUUUAAUACUUUAUUUUUAAAUAUUCUUCAUAUUUAUAUAAUUAUUUUUUAAAACAACCUUAAAAACAAA